GCAAUGGCAGAUUGGGACCUACCACUGGAGGUAUGGGUAGCCCUGAAAUCGGAGGAAGGGGUAGCUUAGGGACGGUCACUGGAGGAACGGGUAGCUUAGGUACAGUUACCGGGGGAACGGGUAGCUUAGGGACUGUCACUGGAGGAACGGGUAGCUUGGGGACGGUCACUGGAGGAACGGGUAGCUUGGGGACGGUCACAGGAGGAACGGGUAGCUUAGGUACAGUCACUGGUGGAACGGGUAGCUUAGGGAUGGUCACAGGAGGAACGGGUAGCUUAGGGACGGUCACCGGAGGGACUGGUAGCUUAGGGACGGUCACCGGAGGAACUGGUAGCUUAGGGACGGUCACCGGAGGAACUGGUAGCUUAGGGGCUUUAGGGGAGUGCUUUCCGCCCUUCCGUGGGUUGCAAGAGCCGCAUGCGAGAGAAUGUUGGGGGAGAUAGAUAAUGCAAAUGAGGAAGAGGCAAAGAGAGAGAGAUGAGAGUUUGGAGGAGUCCAUGUUGAGUAGAGUGGAUGGUGUAACUAUACGAAAGAGUAUAUGAAUAUAUAGAGGGAAAAUGAGAAGAAGAAUUCACGUGAAGAUGGGGGCUACUUCUGCAAUAAGAAGAGACGCCCCAAAAUAAGCAUGGUUGGCAAUUAUCAUAAGAAUACAAGAUUUCCUUGAUGACCCAUCGCUAUAUAUCAUCACAUGUCGACCACACUUUUUUCACUUUUUUUUUUCUAAGUGCCUCUUGUUCUUGGGUUAACUACAACUUUUAACAACGUGUAACUUCAGUUUCAACAGUACAGUACAUUUAACUUGUAGGAAUUGUAAUGAAUCAACUUAGCGAGACUAGGUCAUUAUGAGAUAUCAUCAAUACUAAAUAACAUUUUGAUGAUGUAAACACUCUAGGAAAAGCAGAUAAUAUAGUAUCAUAUGGUUUUCGCUUUAGUGUGUGGCUUCAUAAGCAUCUCCAUGCAUGAGUCGACUGCUAAGGAACAUAUAGAUCUGCACCAUAGUGAAGACGGCUUAGUCUAUUCAAAACACUAAUGUUGUGCCUUUCGAGGACCUCCCGAGACUCGAAUUCGAAUGCACUCUCCAAAGGUAUUAUGUUAGGGAAAAAACCUUAUUAAACCAAAUAUGUUACUGUUUAACCCAUACACGAAAAUUAGAUAUAUAAAUGUUGAACAAAUAGCAUAUAGUUAUAUCCAAUAUAUACGUACAUGAGAGGUAAAGAAGACAGCAAGACUGACAUGUGAAAUUCGGGAUACACUUUUGUUGUUUGGUGAUUUUGUUACGUAGUGUCAUUAAAGAAACGAUCAUGUGUGCGUGGACCAUCUUCUUCUUUUUACCGCUCAUUUCCCUUUUUACCAUAUCUACUACAAAAGAGUCCGAACUGACCAUUUAAUGAACGAGUACCAUUCAAUUCAUAAACUCCCCGUAUCAAUCUAACUGACACUGUAAAAGUUAUAAUGUUAAUAUAUAAAAAUAAUAUGGUUAUUUAGCAUGAAUAAUAACUUUUUAUAAUUGAGAGUAUGUCUAGCUAACAUUGGUGAUUGGUGCUUACAUAAAUCAUAUUUUUCAAACCACUUAACAAGAACUUUACAUAUUCAAUGAUAAACGAAUCACAUUUAUACAAUAUACCAUUCAAAAAUAAUAUUGUAAGAUGAUUUGAAAUUAAACGAUUGUAAUAUAUAAUGUGUUAAAAGUAAUGUAUUAUAGAUAUCUUGUAAUUAUUUAAAGGGUUUUGUGCAAAAAAAAAAACCACUAACUCAUACAUUUUUCCAAUUUACUAUCCAGCUCUAAUAAAUGCACAUUAAUCCUAUGAAUCUAAAAUAAUACGCAUUGUAACCCUUUUUGACCAUUUUUUGCUACCAUCAAUUUUGUAAAAUAUUGAUAUAUAAUAUGUUAAAUCAAAGCUCUCGCGACCAAGAGUUCAACUCUACCUUUAAAAAUUUUAAAAUGUAAUGUAUGUAACCGUAAAAACGCUUGUAAUAUGCAUAUGAAAUUUAUAUUACAUAUUAUGUUAAACUUCAUAAGAUUAAUCUGCAUUUGUUGGUAGUGCAUUUGUUAGAGGUGGAAGGUAAUGUUGCAAAAAUAGAUGAGUUAAAAGAUUUCUUUUUGCACAAAACCCUUUAUUUAAACUACUAACAAUAUAAUAUAUAAAUAAUUUAAAACAUAUAUCUCUAUAAUUCAUGAAGUAAUAAUGGUGUACCCUAUCCUUACCAACGAAUAAUAAAGAAAUGAUAUUAACUCUGAUUCAAAAGCUAUAUAUAAGAUAUUCUUUUUUUUUCCUCGGGAGGGAUACGAAUCCGGUAACAUGAAUCAGUGUCCAAUAAGAGCCAGUGGUCGUAAAUUCCAAAUGACAGAUGGAUGACUCAUUUUAAUUCGUAACUUUUGUCAGCUGCGAUAUAUGCUAAUGAAACCUGAGGUGCUAGAUUUUGAUUUUAAUGGCUUUAGAUUCUUACUCAACACUCAAUGGCCCACUCGUUAAUCUCUUACCUUCUAAAGUGAGUUAUGAUCCACUGCUUCUUUCUUCUUGUAGAUAGAUGGACCUGUUUUUUUUAGGUUGUGAUUUGUGGACAUUAAUCAACAACCCAUGUUUAUACGUGAUAAUGUCUGGAGCUAUAUGUAAAGGCGAUAUGGAGGACAACAUUCCUCUAUUCUAACUUUAAAAGCCAUGUAGUUAGGGCUGGACACCAAUAUUCUUUUUUUUUUUGCUAAAUUGUAAAUAUCAUUUUGAUGAAAAAUCAGGUUUUACAACAGUUGUAUAACCUAAAACAUUUGAACUCUUUGGCAAAAAAGAAUAAAAAAACGAAGAGCCAAUCGAGAGCUGCAUAGAACUCGGUAGUUUCAUAGCAGCCACAACGCUAUUAACUUGCGAAAAAGGAGUCUGUUUCUUCUUGAGGUGAUAACGUUUUUGAUUUUGCGGUUGAUGCACUUGAAUAUAGAAUGCGGAGAGAGGGAAGUAGCGUUGUGCAGGACAUUGUUAGGCUGCUUCAAGAUGUGGAAGACCUUAGACUGAACGACAAUAAUUUUAAGAACUGAUGAAGCCAAUAUUCAUCAUUUUCAAACAAAAAAUAUCUUUUGUUUGACACCAAUAUCCUUGACCAGCUUCAAACAAAGGAUAUACAUCAUUUUUAAGUCGGGUAAGGCAAAUGAGUAUAAGGAUUCUCAUUACACAUCUGGUUGCCAAAAACUUUUAGUCAAAUACUAGUUACAAUCUCAGUUUUUUACCCCAAACUUUUUGCCACUUAAAAAACUAGGGGUGGGCAUUCGGGUAAGCGGGUCGGGUUCGGGUUCGGGUAAAACCCGAUCAGGUAUAAAGAAGUUUAGGAUCUAAUAGGGUAAAUCUAAAAUAUCGGUUCGGUUUCGAUUCGGGUCCAACCGGGUUCGGAUAUAGAUUUGUGGCCUUUUUUUAUCCAGAUUUUUCGGGUAAAAUUUUGGAUUUCGGAUAAAAUUUAGAUUUUUGAAUAAAAUAUUUGGGUAUUUUCGGGUUCGAGUUUGUUUUUUCGGGUAGAGAAAUUUAGGAUCCAGUAAAGUACAUCUUCGGAUUUGGAUUAAGUUUCAGCUCUAAUUUUUCGAGUUAGUUUCGGUUCGGAUAAUCGGUUCUGGUUUUUUGGCCCGGCUCUAUAGAAAACCAUCAAUAAAUAUUUUAAUCCUAUUUCUGCCUCAUUACUCGAGAAAAUAUUCGACCCGUUUUAUUACUUGAUAAAUUUACAACUAUAUAUUUAUGUAAUCUAUUUCAUAUUAGUAAAAUAUAUUAAAUUUGUUAUUAAAACCAAAUAUCUUUUGAGAUUAGGGCAAUCAAAAGUUAAGGUCAAGCAAAUGUCUCCUUUCUAAAUGUUUUUGUGGGUAACGGUAAAGGACAAAUAUACAGCCCAUGCCCAGACCUACAAGUAGCGACUCCAUUACUACACAGUAAGAUUUUUAUUAAUAAAAAUGUGCAUGGUUUCAUUUAAAAGUCAUUGCUAACACUUCACUUUACAGUAAUAUUCAAUUUCAUACCUUUAAACGUUAAUCAGAAUCGCCAAUUGGAAGCCAGUCACUGGAAUCACCUUCCGAAUCCUUGCUAUGUCCAACUUGGCUCUUGCUGAGCUGAACCCAGCUUGACCCGCUUGCGUUUGAUGCUGGUCUUUUCAGUGUACUCCUGUUGGGACUUGGCUUCUCCGAGAGAUCAUCGACAUCUAAAUCACUAAAGGAGAUUACCUCUUCAUCUCUGAAACUCCUCCGUUGUUCUUCAGAUGACUCAUCACUUAUCUCCCUUUGCUCAAUUUUUAGAGUCUCUAUCUUGUCAAUGACUCCCUCAACGGUUUCUGUUUCCCUACUGCUACCUUCUUCAGGAGUUUCGUGACCAGUAGUGCUCUUGCUUGACCCUGUCUCUUUCUUUUGCAGCUUUAGUAAAAGUUGAUCCCUUGUUUCAAAUACCUGUGCCGCACAAUAUAGUUAUUAAAGUUUCAGAAAUAGGUACAAUAGUAACUUGGGAAAAAAUGCAGAGCAUAAAAGAUAUAAAACAAUCCAAUUUUAAAAGCAUCAGGCAAAAAUACAUUUUUUCCUGAGGCUAUACUUGUUCUUAUUGCAAUCGGUUGAAGGGGUCAUUAUAGCAUAAACGUUUACGAUUUUAAUAAUAUUGGAUCAAUACUGACAUUUCAGAAGAAUGUAUUUCCAGUAUACAGUCUUACCUUGCAUGUUGCUAAGAGUUCAAAAUCAUGCCCAUUCAGUCUCGGCAUCAGCAAAAUAAAAUAAAUCAGCCAGAAGUGUUCAUCAUCCAUGUAACUACUAACUUGAUUCUUCACAGCUACAAGGCCAGGAACCAAAUCUUCAAUGGCUGAUGCAUGUGCCCUUUGAGCCUCAGACAGUUCAAAUUCUGCAAUGUGGACAUGAAAAGUUGGAGAAAAACUUCAGCAUAAUUCAGUAGGUAAAAUUGAUGUAAACCACCAAUGCUUUUUAUCAGGAAGUGUUUCGACAACAUUUUCAAGCAAACCAAGCCUAUAUACAAAAGGUUGUACAGGAUGACGAUAUGCUUCGCAAUAAAAUAAAUAAAAAGAUUUAAGUGGCAUAUGGAUUGAACUAUAUAUAUAUAUAUAUAUAUAUAUAUAUAUCCCAAGAAGAGACUGCAGACCCCGUCAAGUUUAUUCGUAAUUCCUGGAGAUCUAUCUAAAGAACAGGGACUUCAAAAAAAAAAAUUAACUGCAGAAACAAUCAAUCUUGUCCAAACAGGUCUAGAAUAAAACACAUCAAGAGUUAAAGACUGAAGCAUAAUCAUCUUUGGCGACUGAAAACAAGUCAACUAUAUUUCCAAGAACAAUCAUGUUUAUUCCUGCAUGGCUGCAAGUUCGUCGACAAUAUCUUCAAGGUAUGAAAAAUGUGAUCUACAGAGAGUAAUGGGACCCCGAGAUCCUAAAGACCUGAGCUUGAAGAAAUAUAUCCCAAGAGGAGAUGGCAGGACCGGUCUAACCUAAUCUAAAAUACUAGGAAAUCUCUCUAAAGAACACCAGAGGCUACAAGCAAUCAACUGUACAAACAAAAAAAAUAUUUUCCUAAUAAAUCACAGUAAGAAAAUCAUAACUAAACAUAGAUAGUUAGAAACCACCAAUGCGGUGCUUCGACUAUACUUUCAAACUAACAAAGCCUAUAUACUGGGAACAAAAAUAUGCUUGAAGAAAUAUGUCCAAAUAAGCUUAAUCUGUAACCCUAGUGAUCCCACUAGAAAGCCAAUCAACUGUAGAAGCAAUCAAUCUUUUCCAAAUAAAACCUAUUUUAGUAACAAUUAUGUUUGCCUACUGGGAAAAAAAAAAGUCAAUGCAGAGCUUAAGACUAUUGAGAAUCAAGCUUUAUGAUUCCUCUAUUGACUAUACAGGAGCAUUACCAGUAUCGAGUGACAAUGGAAAAUCUGUCCAACAACCAGGUUUCGUCGAGAUUUUAACAGCGAAAUCGACUACUUCUUCAGAGAUUCCAGGAACUUGAUCGUUCAACGGAGAUCUUCUACUACUUUCUCUAUCUCUUAGAUUACUAGGAAAUUGGAGUAAAUUAGAUGCGAAAUUGGAGAAAUUUCCACGAAUCUCGGCUAGAUCGUUGCGGAUCCCGAGAAGACCUAGCUGAGUUGGUGAAUUAUCAGAGGAGAGUCGGCGUUCGUUUACAGGUGGAGAAGGAGGCGGUGCCAGGAAAGCUGCGACGCCACGGAGUAAGGAAGAUAAAUCUUCUUUGACACCGCCAUGAGUUGUGGAAGGAUCGGGAUCGGGAUCGUGAUCGUCAUCGCCGCGAGAUUUGAAGAGCCAAGACAUGGUUUUUGAGUGAGAGAGGUUGGAUUUGGGGUUUUCAGUUUUUUUUGCACGGGGUUACGAAUAGCAAGAGAGAAGAAACGGUACGUUUUAAUACCUUUCCAAAACGCACCGUUUGUUGUUUGUUCGUUUUGAUACCUUCCCAAACGUGAAAUAAACGAACAAUAAUUAUACAAAAUAAACGGAAACAAAACCUACUUUUUAAAACGGGAAAAUAUCGUUUUAUACGUGAUGUUUUUAAGAAUGGUCAUUUUAUAUGUAAACUUUUAGAUCGAUCAAAUAAAAUAUGAUAAAAAUGUUGAUCCGCUAUUUAAACAAAACAUAAAGUUUGCCUGGCCAAAAUUUCCGAAAUGUUAACUUGUAUUAACGGAUCUGAUAACCCUCGUUAGCAGACGUUAGUCGUCUUCCGUUAAUACCAAACGAUUUUUUGUGAUGAGUACAAACCUUAAAAUUCCCAAAUCGAUUUUUCAUUCCCUAAUUCUUCAUAAUCCCCAAAAUUUGAACUAUUCUCGAUAUAUUUUUUUUGAGCUCAAAAUCUCCAUUUUGUGUAGAUAUGAGUUUAAAAAAUUUGAGUGUUCAAGAAGGAGGAAGUGGGAACCUUGGGUUUCCUUCAAAGUGUCAUUGGGGGAGAGAUUUCAUCAUCUAUAUAUCAAGCUCGACGAAGAACCCAAGAAGAUCCUUCUUCUGUUGUCCAACAUAUCAAGAUGUAAGUAGAUUUGAAUUUGUUUUUUUUGGUGUUUGAUCGGUAAAAAGUUGUCGUUGUAAAUGCAGGACCAUUUGUUUAAGUGAGUCGAAGAUUGUGUGUAUGAAGAGGUUGUAGAUGCAAUACUGAUAAUCUCUAUGAUUGAUAGCUAGAUAAACAAUGUCAAAUUUCAGGUUGUAGUCGAGAUUGCAGAAUUAAAGGUUUUGAUCCAAGAAUUGAAGGAAGAUGAAAUGUGGAGCAAAAUGGAAUUGAAGAUAUGGAAAUCGAUGACCAAAUUGUGCUUGGUGUGCCUUUGUAUAACAGUCAUUGCAAUUAUGAUCAUAAUGUUCUAUAAGACCAAAAACCAUAAGCUUGUUCUUGGUUACUAGUGUUUUGUGUUUGUAAUAAAAUGUUUUUAUGGUACUGAAAUGUUUGUUUGGCAAUGAUAAUCAGUCCUAGUGUUUUGUCUUAGUGUUGUGAUUGUAAUGAAAUGCUACUAGAUGCUUGUUUAACAAUGAGAAUCACCAAAAUGAAACUCAUUCAUACAUUAUAAAACUUGUGUCACAAAGACAAGUCGAAACCACAAAAUGAAAUCGAUACUAAGCUUAUGUCAUAAAGACAAAUCCAUUAUGUCAACCACCAAAAAUAAACUUAUGAGAAAGCUUAAGUUCAAACAACAACAAAAAGAAACUUGUGACUAAUCUUGUCUUGAACACUCAAACCAUGAUGCAAAUCCACCAAGUCCUUGUGGUUGAGCAUGUGGCUCAGUUUGUGCUUGUGCUUGUGGUUCUGUUUGGGAUUGUACUUGUGAUGCUCCACCUGUCUCCCUUGGUCUUUCUGAUGUUCCGCCUGUUGCCCUUGGUCCUUGUGAUCGAAUAUGAGAUUGUGAUCCUUGAUGAGGUUGUGAUCCGUGUAUUUGCUCUUGCGAUUCGAGCACUUGAGAUCGUGAUCCUUAAUGAGAUUGUGAACUUUGAUGAGGUUGUGAUCUUAGCACUUGUGAUUCCUCCUAAGUUAAAUAUGACAGUCUGAACAGUUGCAUGAUUAAGUGAGUUGUAAAACAUAUAAAAAAAAACAAGAAUACAAACCUGAUUUAUUCGUGGAUGACCUCUUGGUCUCUUUGGUGGAAUCAGAAUAGUGGCAUUUUUGCAGCUUUGCUUGUUUGCCCUUGUUGAAGGCAGUUAGAGCAUGUCAUGAUUCUCUUUUGCAGUGGCAUCUUGUUCUUAUUUGAAGAAGAAGAAGUCUCAUUUCUUCCUUUUCUCCUAACAUAAUUACUCGGUCUUCCAACAUUUCCUUUUGUCCAUGGUGGUGGCAAAACAGGGAGCCUAUUGGUUUUAGGCCACAAUGGCAUACCUUGGACAAGGCUAAUACCAUCUUUAUAAGUUUUUCGCCAGAUUACCUUUGUGUAAAACUUGCUCACAUAGUCUGCAACUGUUUCUCUUCUUCCUAUUAUCACAGGUGUCGCAUAAAUACAUGGGAUCCCCACCAUCUACCACUUCCUGCGACCACAAGUUCUCUUCUCCGUAUCAACAUAGUAGCUAACACCAUUCACAUCAAUUUGAUACAAAUUGUUUCUGGACAUAUAUCUCUCGCAAUUUCUAACCCCAACUAUCAUUUUCUCAAUCUCAAGAUGGGCUCUCUUUGUGAACCUUGUCUUCAAUUUGUCAGCAAUGAUAUACGUCUUCGUAGUUAUGACCAUGCAUUACCUCUGGAUGUACUCUAGCUAAUCCAACAAAGGCUUUCUCCUAGCCUGUUUAAUAGUCUUAUUAAAAGACUCACACUGAUUAUUGAGGCUGUCAUUGCAACGUGUCCAAUUCUAAAGAAGGCUCUCGACCAUGUCAUUGGACUAGUAAGUUGCGAGUGGCAUGCGCAUGAGGAUUGUAUCUCUUUAGCUCUUCCAUAUUAUUCAUGAACACUUCUUCAGUGUAGCUUCAAAUUGUUUUUCAAAGAGACAUUGUAGUUCUAUCUCAUGGUUGUCUCUCUUCCAAUUGUCCAUUAUAUGCCUUGAAUAUUGUCGAUGCUCAACUUCUGGAAGUAUGGUAUUGAUAGCUUUGACUAGACCCUGUAAAAUAACACAAAAACAUAAGCGUAAACCCUUCAUAAAAGACAUUAAACUGAAGCAAAAGAUGAUAAAAUUAACUGAUUAUUUAUCUGAAAUGAUAACUAGAUGUUGCAUUUCACAGUCCCAAACUAGUAGAGAGCUGUCUCAAAAACCAGUCCCAAUUAUCAUUGUUUUCUAUCUCAACAACUGCCCAAGCUAUAGGAACAAUCCUCUUAUCUCCAUCUCUUCCAACUACAGCUAAAAGGUGACCUUUUACAUCCCAUUUUAGAAAACCCAUCUAUUCCUAUCACAGGUCUACAAGUUCGCUUCCAAGAAUCCUUUUGAGAUUUAAAGCAGAUAUAGCACCAGAGAAAAGAAUCCUUUUGUGAUAUAAAGCAGCUAUAGCAUCAGAGAAACCUUUGCUUGCUUCCAAUAAAAAGCCCUACUGUUGUCUCUAUCUCAAACUCUGUCUCUGGGUUCUACUUUAAAACCUCCGCUUGAUAAUCUCAUAUUCUUGAAAAGUGAUCAUUAUGAGUAGCAUGUCAUGCUUUCAACACUUUGGUCUUGGCCUUUGCACAUUGGUCUGGAGUCACAUCCAAAUUGAAUUCUCUCUGAAUCUCAACAACCAUCUCGUUCUUUGAAAUAUUUGGAUUCACUCUCAGCCUUUCAUCAAACAAAAGUGCAAUGGAAGACCGCUUCAACAUCUUUGAAUAUCCUGACCUAACACAAGUAUGCAUAUAAAAUCUUACUUGCAUCUUAUGUUUUGUCUUCUCAUACGAACAAUAUACUUUCCAACCACAUUUAACACCAUCAACACCAAUUUAUGACCACUUCGCAGCAACAACCAUAGAUUCAGACCCAUAAAGAGAAAUGGUAUACCAUGUCUUUAAAGAGUACAUCAAAAGAACACGCUUGAAGUCGUGUUUAUAUCCUCUUCACCGCGUAAACCACCAUUAUAAUCGUUAUCUCCACCACCAACCACAUCAUCAACGACAUUGCAGUCUUCAUCACCAUACACGGCGCAGUCUUCUUCAUUUUUCAGGGUCAGGCUCAAAUGUAGGUUCUUCAUCCUCCUCUUUUUAAUGUCUGACUCUUCUUCGUUUUUGUUUUCAAAGCCGCUUUGAAACUCGAGCUUUAACUACGAUAGAAGACUCUACUACGCCUACAGCCGGCAGAGCUAGAACUCCGUUAUCAAACUCUAAAACUGCUUCCGCUGGUGGAGCUCGAACAACAUCUUUGGUGUCAUCUUCGCCUCGUGGUGGAGCUUCAUCAUUGUCUAAUUUGCCUUCCAUUGAUACAAUCUAGGACUCCAAGGAUACAAAUUCAAGAUGAAAUCAAAUCAAAAUCGCGAUUUCGCCAAAGUAAGAAUUAGGGAUUUGGUUUUUGGAAAUUAGGGAUUUUGAAAUCAAAAUGGGAAUUUCUGUUUCAGUUUAUGAAACGACAUUGUUUUAGGCAUUAACAGAAAAAAUUAACGUCUGCUUACAGGGGUUAUCGGAUCUGUUAAUGCAAGUUAACGUCUCGGGGAUUUUGGUCAGGUCAACUUUAUGUUUUGUGUUAAAUGGCGGGUCAACGUCUUUAUCAUGUUUUAUUUGGCCGACCUAAAAGUUCACGUAUAAAAUGGCCACUUUUGAAAGUUCACGUAUAAAACGACAUUUUUCCCUUUUCAAAAACCUAAUUUAUUUCGCAUAAUUAUUGUUCGUUUUGAAAAGUAGGUUUUGAUUUAAUAUUAAAUUUAUUCGGGGAAAAAGAAUUAUACAUUUACAAGUAGGAAAAAUGGGUAAAAAAAACCUCACCUUUCCCAAAUACAUUUAAAAAAACCUCAACUUUUUGUAGGUUUUUAAACCCUCACCUUUUCAAAAAUGGUAAAAUAACAAUUAGCAUUAUUAAACCAAAUAAAUACAAAUUAAAUACUAAAUAAACUAUUAUAUUAAGACAUAAAAAACAACAUAAUUUAUAAUCUAUCUUUUCCAAAUUUGAGUUUAGGAUUUUUUUUCUUCUAGAAUUUAGUUGUUUUUUGUGAUAUAAAAAAUAAGUUUCAUUGCCAUUAGAAAUUGGUAUGUAAACUAAAACAAUUUAUAACAUAGCACAUUUUAUUUUAUUUGUGUUCAACUAUGUUCUAACCUUUGAAGUUUUGGAUUUAAAAUGGAUAAAAUUUAUUAACACAAAUUUGAUCUAAACUUGAGUGACCUAAUAUUUGUUCUAAACUUGUGUGAUCAAAACUUUAUUCUAAACUUAAGUGUCCAAACCAAAUAAAAUUUUAUUAAAUAUAUUUUAUAUUUAGUUAUUACAAAAUUAGUUUAGUUUUACGUUGAUGAAUUUCUUGAACUCAACCAAAUUAAUCUUGUUUCAGUUCACUGCAUAUGUAGAAGAAUAUAUAUCUAUAUAUAUAUACAUAUAUCAUACCUAAAAUAAAAUAAUUAUUUUUAUCCAAAAUUUAAUUAAACUUACACUCGAAACAAAAUAAAUAAACUUUGAAUAGACUUUGGAUAUGUUAUCUUCAGUAUGAAACCAAUUGUCUGAACCAAAUUUAAAUUGUUUUCACAUAAAACAUUUUACUAGAAGAAAAUAUUUAAGAGCUAUGUCUUUGGUUAGAUUAGAAUCGACAUAUUUCGUUUUCAAGAUUGUUUAGUGGUAGUUUGUUGUUUUGCGUCAAGUUUUUUUUAAUGUUUUCUUUUCCUAUUUUUGUCGGGUUCAUCUCUUGCUUUUGGACCGGUCAAUCUAUAACUUUUCACCUUUAUAAUAAUAGGUAAAGCGGUUGUGUGACUCUUUCAUUUUCCUCUACUCAAGUUUAAGACUAAAUCUGGUCAAAUUUUUAUUAGACUAGUUAUGAUGGUUUGUUAUAAACCAUUUCACAACUGUUGAAAAAAUUAUUUCCACUACAAUGGUUUAUUGUAAUCGAAAAGUAAGUGAGAUGGCAAAUUUAUCAACACUCAUGAGAGUAGAAGAAAGAAGAUAAGUGUGACAAGUGUUAUAUUUUGAUUGGUUGCUUUUUUUUUUUGGACAAAAGCUUGUUUUUAUUCAAUUAAGAGAGAAACAAGUACAAAGGAACAAGGAUUCUAAGAUCCCAAAGUUUAAAGGACAACAAAGGUAGGCAUUCCCAACACCAUAAGAAGAAAAGCUAACACACAAAUAAGGUACAUCAACAAUGGUUCCAUGAGAGCUAUAAUCCAAACACUUGAAGGGAAUUUGUUACUUUUAAGAUCAAGGAUUGUUGACAAAUCUUCCACGAACAAAGUAGUGGAUGAGAGUAUGGUUACUGUCAAAAGACUUAGUAACGUUAACAAGGGCGCCAAAGACAUGAAUCUCGUCGGGACGAGAAGUACUACACCAAGUAGUGCUUUUGCAAAGGUUCGAACAAGGUUUUGGUAAAGGAAGGAGGAUCGUCGAGGCUUAGAAAGAUUGAUGCGAGACCGUAACAGAACAGGUGGGUCCUCUCUCCCAAGAAGACCAAGGAGAUUAAGGAAUUCCACACAAAGCUUGUAGUCGGUUUGCCACAUGAAGAAAAGGCCAGACAUGAGGAAAUUGAGUAGAUAUCACUUUGAGGCACUAGUCAAUAGGGAGGGAUCUCUCACAAGAGAAUUGAGAAGUUCAUGUUGAAGCUUGAUCCAAACCCGGGGAGUAAUGGUGAAUGGGAGGUUCUUGAAGUUGGUCGAUAUAGUUGUCAGUAUGAAAUACUUUGAUAGAGAGUUUUGGUGACUAGCGUCACAUCUCCGACAGAUUGGACUAAGAAACACUAGACCAUGAAUCUUCAAAACGGAAUCAUAAAACAUUGCCCUAGCUAAACCUAGCACCAAGGUUCUCAGAUAAUAUUUGUAGGAGCAUAUCAACGAGGGUGAUUCGUCAUUCAAGUGGUGUCCCUAACCCCUCAAAAUAAAGAAACGAUGUCUACAUUGGGAUAGACUCGGCAAAUUGCAGAUGGAGGAAUACCUGGAUUUUUGUGAUAAUAGGUUUGGGUCGCAAUUUAUGGGCUUGGGCCGCGAGGGAAAUGGGCCAACAUUGGAGACAGGGCCCAUCAAAGAAAACCCUCGAUUCCAGAUUGUUGGGCAAGGAGCGUUGGGAGUGCGGCGGCUACGGUAGAGAGGUACGAAUUGCACAAUUGAAGCAGACGUCUCUGAUGUAAAUAGAGUUAGGGUGAACAAGCUGCAUGACGGGUCCGGCGCUGAGGCUAUAACAACGGCUAAUGGUUUGGCAAAAGAACGUCGGAGAAGCCUUAGGGAGCCGAAAGGUCCCGCAGAUCUAGUAACGAUGAGGAGGCGGAGACAAGGCUCAGGUUGGAAGGAUUGGUCGCCUAUGAAAUUGAAAGCUUCACAAACUGUUUUCUUUGAUUCGCAAGGUUUGGACAGAGAGUGUAGCUUGCUCGGAGGCCACAUUUUGCCUAUGUCGGAGAAUACUGCUUCAAAGAAGAUUCAACAGCAAAGAAGAACUCGAUAGAUUUGGAUUAAAAGGUUUGCAACAGAAGAAAACUAAAUUACAACGAAGAAGUAGAUGAAAGAUUGAGGAAAUAGCUCGAGAGAUGAGAGGGAGGUUCCGAUGCCGGCGAGCAUUUGCUCCACCGACGUCGGAAAGAUGAAGGGAGAUAGUUUCCUCGAUAUUAGUGUCUAUUAGCUCCACCGACGUUGAAAAGAUGAAGGGAGAUAGUUUCCUCGAUAUUAGUGUCUGGGAGAGAAACUCUUUAAAAUCUUAGUCUCGCAAAAAAUUUGAUUGGUUGCUUUGAUUUCUAUAUUUUUUUUCUUAAUUACAUAACUUUAAUUAUUUCAUAAUAUUUAUAAAUAAACAUAUCAAAAUUUACAAUUUUUCAUUCUCUAUAAAUAAACACUAUCUUCAUUUGAUUUGGACAAAACAAAAAUAAUCUUUCUUUAGAAAAAAAAAAGUUUAGUCUCCAAUAAACUUUUGUUUUAGCUUUAAAUAUACUUUUAUCUAAAUGGAUCCAAACAAUAACCUUUCAACACCCAAAACUUUUCUAAUUACUUUUAAACUAUCCAAAUCCCAACAAUUAUUAGUUGCAGGUGUGUCAGAAGGACAUUGAACGAGCAUUUGGAGUGUUGCAGGCUCUAUUUAAAAUUAUUCGCGAACCAGCUCGACUGUGGGACAUAGCCGAUUUGACUAUCAUCAUGAGGUCGUGUAUCAUAUUGCAUAAUAUGAUUGUUGAUGAUGAACGACAGACGUAUACUCAACAUUGGACUGAUUAUGAUCAAUCUAAGGCAAGUGGGCCGAGUACAUAACAACCAUUCUCGACCAAAGUGCUACUUGUAUUUGCAAAUCAUCUGCGUGGUAGAUCCAAGUUGCGUGAUUCAAAUGUACACCGCAAAUUGCAAGCAAAUCUAGUCAAACAUAUAUGGGCACAAUUUGGAAUUUUCCAUGGUGAAUGAGAUUUUUAAGUUUGUGAGUUGAGAUUAAUAUACUAAUUAAGUUACAAAUGUUUCCUUACUUGUUGUGUGCGUAUUGUAUUGCAUUUUAAAUCUAUGUUCAUUGUAUGUGUUUUAGUAAUGAUUAUUUUUAUUUCUAGUUUUUAUUAUUUAUAAAGUUUUUUUAAAAAAUAUAUACAAAUAUUAAAACAAAAACUAUUUUAUAAAAUUUAUUUAAUAUUUAAUUAUUUAAAUUUAAUUUAAUAUUAACGGUGAUUAAUAAUAUUUAAUCACAAAAAACAUAAACAUAAAUAAAAUGAAAAAUAUAAAAUAAAAAUUGUGGGAUAAGGUGUUGUAAUUUUAUCAAACAAAACUAUUGUAGAGGGAAAAAAUUAUGUAGGUGUGGAAUAACGAUGUGGAAGAGAGAGAAAACGAUGUGAAGUGUUAAAAGGGAAAAAAAGGGUGUUGUAAAUGGGUAACCAUUGUAGAUAGUCUUAGGAAGUGAAUGGUGACUUUAAGAUUUGCAGAUUUCGAAAGAAAAAGAAAAAAAUGCACUAAUGUCACCAAUCAGACAUAUGUGUGUAAUUUGUUUUUUUUUACAGAUAAUUUGGCACACACAUUUCAAAGCAUGUUAAUACACUAGGGAUAAAAGAAACACACUCUACUAUCGUCCAAGGGAUAUUUGGCAGCGCUUAACUAAAAACUUGCAUUACACAGUAAGUAAUAAAUCAAUUAUUUAAUUAAUAAUAAAAUGUACCUAUAAAUCAGAUCAUGUACUCUAAAACUAUUCACACAUUACAACCAAAAACAACAUCCUCUCAUAUUUCGCUCCAAUCCAAAAGAAAAAAAAAACAAUCUCCCACCCUUUCGUCAUAUAUUACAACAUUUAAAUGUAAAUUACUUUUACUAUACUAGUAUAAUAAUUACUUAUAACAAAAUAUUUCUAUGUAAUUAAGGUCUCUUUAUAAAUAAAUAGGACUGAAAUUAAGUAUAUAAAAUUGUUCAAAAUUUAGUAAAUCAUAAAAUGUUAUAUUUAUGUACAUAUUUAUAUGACUAUGUUUUAUUUUUAUAUUCAUAACAUCAGUAUUAAAUUUUAAUCAAAUCAUAGAAAUUUUUAAAUAUGUAUAAUAAAUGGUUGUGAUAGUAUUUACUAAUCAAGAUGUAUAUAUAUUUAUUAAAAAGAGAAAGGAAAAUUUUGAAGAUAUACAAAAUUACUAUUUUUUUAAAUUAUAGUUUAGUAUAUUUAUAUUAGAUGGUAAUAUGAUAUUAUGAAUUUUUUCAAAACUUAAUUAAAUCAAUUAAUUUAAUCAUAUCAAAAGUUACUUAAAUCAAUUCAUUUCCAUCAUUAUUAAAUUUUAAACAAAUCAUAGAAAAUUAAAAUAUGAAAAGAAAUGGUUGUGAUAGUACAAUAAAGUGAUUCCGAGUUCCCUUUGCCUCCGUCGGAGAAGUAUUAUCUAGUUGAUUAUGACUACCCAAACAAAUAAGGAUUUCUAGUUCCUUAUAGAUCGUCAGGAAAUCGAGUUGUGAGAUAUCAUAUGUCUCAAUUUUAUUUUGGUCCUCCUCCUAGAAACAAACAUGAACUAUUUAAUAUGUCAUGCAUCUUUACGUUCUGUUAUCGAGAGAACUUUUAGAGUUUCGGAAAAGAAAUGGAGGAAUCUUUUUCAUUUUCCUAGAUAUAAUAUUCAUAUUCAAAAAAGAGUGGUAAUGGUUAUAGUGUGAUUACAUAAUUUUAUCAGAAUUUCAAACUUCUCAGAUGUAGAUUUUCUUGAUGUAAUGACAGAGACAAAUAUAAACUACAGAGAUUAUGAUCAUCAUUUAGAUGACAUAGAAGCAACAGAGAUAACAAAUGGAGAACAUAUGAUGCCAAUAAAAGACAAUAUUGCAAAUAUGUUAUGGCAAAAUCAAAAUAAUAUAAAAUAUUUUUUAAUGUUUUUUAUGAUGAAAUUAGUUAAGGCAUGUAACAAUAUGUAUGUUACAAAAUUAAAUUUAUAUUUUGAUCAAUUUUUGUAUUAGUGGUUUAUAAAUAUCUGUUAUUGUUUAUUUAUUAACACAAAAAAUUAAUUAAUUAUUAAUAUAUAUAUAUAUAUAUAUAUAAUUUAUAAUUCGCACCGCAUGUAGUUUUUUCACCAAUCAAACAUUAUUUUGUACCGCUUAUUUUGAAUAAACCGUACUUAUCCCGCAAAUAUAUUUCUCCUACACGAACCGCAGUUUAACCGUACUACACUUCAAUAACGCUUUCCCCGCACUAUAAAAACCACGGUUACCAUUCGGACCCUUAGAGCUUGUUUAAAAAAUUGCUAGGCGUUAACCGGGCAUUCGGGGACUUAUCGAUAUUAGUUUUUAACAUUUUAAUAUUGAUAUAUACAUAUAAAUUAAAUAUCGGAAUAUAUGACAAUGGAAUUAAUUUGGUUGAGUGUCAUCUUUUUUUAUUUGGAAAUUGCACAAUCUAUACUCUGAGGAGUCGUUAUUUAGGUUCCCAAAAAAGCAACUGUUUGGCUGGUACUGUGGAUGUGGAAAUUGCGCAUGUAUGAAAAUAUAUUGUGUGAGACGGCUUCAUUAAAAUCUUAUUAGAUUAUUAUUGUUCUUCGCAUGUGGUUUUUGUUUUCUAUAUGUUUUUUAUUUAUUGAUUUAUGGGGAAACCAAUCAUCAUCAUCAUUUCCCUUCCAAUACGGAGAGCUUGGCAAUGCGAAAGAUUUGGAUGGCAAAUGUUUGGUAUAAAUUUUUCGACCCGUUAAUAUUAUAAUCUUGAUAUUAUUUUUGUUAACGUCAUUAAUCUUUUGCAGACGUAUGUGGAGCCUAUCAUUUUCCCUGACGUGGAGAUGAACCCGAAAGAAGAUUUAACCUGGUCUGACGAUGAGGAAGAUGUGAUGGGUUGAUAAUAUCGUCAUGUUAGUUGGUAAAGGGAUUACUUUUCAGCUCCCUCCAUUCUGAUUUGCCAACUCCUACAAAUGCUAAGGUUAGUUAACUGAUAUUUAUUUUAUAAUCGUUGUGUUUAGUAGUUUAGCAACUAAGUAUUAUAUGUGAGUAGCUAUAUUUUUUCUUUAUUUUUGUAGCUUUUUUGCCUCUGUUUCAGAGUUUUCAAUUAUCUCCAAGAUGUUGCAGGUAAACAAAUCUGUUGAGGUCCUUGAUCAUCGAGAUGAAGAACCGGUUUAUUUAUUUACACUCCAUUUUUGUUUAACUUUACUGUACAUUUUUGUUAACCCCCUCCAUAUUUUAUUAGCCGGUAAGAUUGUUAUCAUUCAUUUUCUUUUUAAUUAUUUUAUUCUGUCUUGCAGACCAAAAUCAAUCCUUCAAAAUUAACCACUACAGUCGAGGAAGAAAAGGAUUCUAAGGAGGUUAGAUAAUUCUUCCUUGUUUUUAACUUUCAUUUGGUUAAAUCCUUAACCGGUGAUAUAUUGCAUGUUUCAAUUUUAGGAUUUUACCACUCCACCCCUGUCAACCCAGUCUCGCUCUAACGUGAAGGUUAUCUUCUAACUAUGAUGUUAUCGCUUAUUGUUUAUAUUCAUCUUCCACGUUUGUAGGAUGUGGUGUGCCCUGCAAGUGUGUAUGCGGAUUAGCUGUUAAAAAAAAUAUUUCCAAGACGCAAGAAAAUUCGGGCUGCCCCUUCUUCCGCUGUGUAAGCAAAAGAGACGUGAGUUAUUUCCUCUCUAAAAACGAUGUUAUUAGCUUUUCUGGUAGCUACACGUUUUGCUAGUUAACCUAUCAUUCUUUUUGUAGGGACAUUUGUUUAAGUGGGUUGAGGAUGUUGUAUAUGAAGAAGUGGAAGAUGCAUUGGUUAGACUUGUAUCGAUUUAAAAUGAGGUAAAUGAUUAAAAGCGCAGGUCAUCCAGUUUUGUGUUGCUAUAAAAGAGUUGAAGGCAGAUUCAGUGUCCGACCAGUUGGUGAUGCUUAUGUUGAAAGUGGGCUUGCUUUUCAGAUUUGUCUUCUCUCUUUUUGUAGCUUUUGUUAUCGCAACACUUCUUAAAAUAGUCGAUAUUAAGUUCAUUAGUAGUUUUUAAUGUCUAUCUUUGUAAUGUUUCAUAGUUUCUAUAAUUCCCUAUGUUUAAGAUAUUAUAUUUGUUAGUCGUUAACCAUGUAAUAUAUACCUUGUAUCAAUCUUCUGUCUAUAUAAUAUUUUAUAACUUCUCAUUUAUUUCUUUAUUUUUGUACCAUUUGCACAUUCUUUAGGCGAUAUUUAUAACCAUUUUAAAACUUAUCUUUUAUUUUAAUUUUUUGGUAGCAUUUUCACAUUUAUUAAGCGAUAAUCUAAUUCUUAGCCAUCCAGCUGUGGUCCUAUCUUCUUAUUUUAGGACGCUAGUUAUCUUUUUUCUUAGUAUUGCAAAUUUUAAGAAGAGGGUCUAUAUCUUGGUACAUAUUUUGUUACAGAAUAUCAUUCAACAUAAACAUAUAUUUAACAUUCAGAAGGAAGGUUUGUUGGGAUCGUCCCUGAUUGCAGAUAAUACACAUUUUUUGGAUCAGUAAUUGUACGUAUAUACAUUGAAAAUUUUCUGAUCUCCGAAUUCUUGUUAUUUAUAAAACAUGACUUCUCGCGAGUCUUCUAAGCACGGAACCAUCCGUUCAAACCCUCCCAUAGUCCAAAAAAACAGUCCUCUCCUUCCAUCUUCAUCCGCAAAAAAAAAAUUUUCCUCGUCGCUUACUUGCCUCCAUGUACCACAUUAAUUUUUUGAUUAGCAGUCAUUUUUCUUUUUAAUCAGAUAACACCUACUUUAUCGACACUAGUUUCUUCAUACACCAUGGUAAAAGUUUUGUUAUCGGCUGCUUUUUCAAAAAAUGAUAAGGAGCUAUAUAUAUAGAUAGCAAACCAAAGAAAGUUGCCCUAACUACACACCUGAGACUUAAAUGCUCUAUGUUUCUAUCUUCUUUCAAUAUUUAUCGUUUGCAGUGGUUUAUAUGUUAGUUGUUUCAGUUCUUGUUGUUGCAGUAAUGUCGAUAUGGAGAUAAUAAAUAGGCAAACAUCUAUCUUCCAUAUCUGCACAAUCGAUUAUGUAUCAUAUGUAAUCAUUACUUUUUACAUUUUUUUAUUAGUUUGACCAGGGGGCGCAAUAUCUUCGAAGAUUACAGAGCAUUUAAUGCUCGUGAUCUUGCGGAAGGAGACUAGUGAUCCUCUGCUUGUAUAGGAACAAUUAUGUCAUAUUUAAUUUGCAAGAAAAUUUUCACCUAAAUAACGAAAUGAUAUGUAUAGAUCCUUAAUUAUUUUCUCCUGUAGGUAUAUAUAUUUCAUUCACUCUUUUUAGUUUAAUGAAAUAGUAAAUGACAAUAUUAUCCUCAUCUUAUUCUUUAGAUCUUAGCGACUGCAACCCUAAUUUUUGUCGUAUCGUUUUUCACAAUUCUUAUCAUUUUUUCUUACCCUUUAAUGAUUUAUACCCAAAUAUAAUAGAUCUACAACCUAAAGACCGAUUUAAAACUUGUAUUUCUUUUUAAAAAAUGAGUUUUUCUAAGAGUUUUCAAUUUUUUUUGGCGAUUUCAACAAAUCGAGGCGGUGGUGGUCUGAAGAGCGCUUAGUUGGACGAGUAAUCGGUUAGACGACCAAUUUUUAGAACAAGGGUCUUGACAAUCCACAAUGCAAGUGUUGAAUUAUUUAUUCAAUUGUUGAACCUUCACAUUGCACAUGUUGAAUAGUUUAAAAAAUCUUACGUGGAUUCAACUUGGUUGAAAGUAUUCAAUAUGUUAUAAAGAAAAAAUUUGGGCCCGCGCAUGCCACAUGUCAAUAAAUGAGUAAAGGAUGUGUUUCAAACUCGGAGAAAGGAGAGCGUAUUGUCCAAACCUUUUUCUUUUUACUUUUAUUUUUUUUUGCAAAAAGAAGAGAUUAUUGAGAUGCUCACACUUGCUAUAUUUUCAUUAGAUAUUAAGAUUUUGGAGAUUUUAUUUCUAUCUUAUUUAUUUACAAUCAAUUAUUACAUACCAAACAAUUUUUUUUUAAAAACUUAUAUUUAUAUGAAAAUUUAUAAAUUUUUAAACUCUAGAAAUAGAGACUUAGUUCAUUUUAUUUGGACACAUAAAAAAUAUUAUUUCUACCAUAAUUUUCUUAUUCUUCUCCCAUAAACUCUUGGUUAUAUCCUUUUUUUUUAUGGAUUCUAAUAAAAUCCCUAUGCAAAAUUAUACUAAUUUUUCCUUUCCCUAUCCUAAUUCCAACAAUAAUCCUACGCAAAAUUCGACUAAUUACGUUUUUCCUUAUCAAAAUCCCAACAAUUAUCAAUUUCAAAAUCUAUCUUUCAACCAACCUCAAAAUUUCCCAAAUUAUGAUUUUCUACCAAAUUUUUCUAUGCUCUCAUCUGUUCCAAACUAUAAUUCAUAUUAUAGAUCGAUUCCAAAUUCAUCUCAACCACCUCUUUAUGAUUUGAGGUUGUGAUUUUCAUUGACAUCAAAAAGAAAAAAAAAAAAAAUAUCACAGAAAGGAGACAAUGAAUAUGAUUAAUAUUUAAUUGGUAAACUAUUAGAUUAGGCGGGGGUUUUCUCAAAAAUUGUCUCUUUUGUAGGACUGUUGUCACCAAUAUUUUCAGUAUCUUUUACUUUUAUUAAUUUUUAAUAAAAUUUAUGAUAAUAAAAAAAAUGAAAAUAAUCGUAAAUAAAAGAAAAAAAGAGAGUUGUGGGUUCUUUCUUUUUAGUUACCCACGCAUCGCUGUCGAAAGAUUAAUUAUGAAAUCAGAUGUUUGGUUGAGUAUAAUAGUAAUGCAUGUCAUUAGUUUAAAUUUAUAAUAUUAAACAAAAUUAUAAAUAAGAUAUUUGAACAAAACAAAAUUAAGUUAGUUUAAACGUUAAUUGGAAACCAAAUAAGAGAUCUGUUAGGAAAAAAGAAAAUAUAUACCAAAUAAGAGAUACAGGAAAUCAGAAAUUUUAAUAUUAUGUGUUUGAAUCUUCUCACCAAAAAAAAUUAUGUGUUUGAAUCUUCUCACCAAAAAAAAUUAUGUGUUUGAAUCUAAUUGAUUAAUGGACACGGUCUAGUAAAUUAUAAUUUUUUUGACCCGCGAAAUAUAGUGAAACAGAGUUUAUCUCUAUACAACAAGACAAAAAAGAAGUUCUAAGAUCAAACUCUGUUUGAUAUACAAAAAUUAUAUUGUAAAUGAAAAUGGAACUUUGAGAUUGAUCUACAACAAGUCUGCUACACUCAUCACAAACGUAAUGUGAUUAUACACAUCCACGUUGGCCGCAAAAACUAAGGAUCUUGUAUCAUCUGGAUCAACAGACAAAAUCAUAUUGCAAUAGUCAGCAGCAUCACGUGCGAGACUAAGGUCGUCAUCAGUCUCAUCAACAUCACCAUUGCCCAUUGACCGCUGUGCCUUCAUUAGCCCCUCGACAACAGAAUCUUUAUAGUUCUCCAUACAACUCUUGAAACAUGGCUUCUUAGGAGAACCAAUGAGAAACUGUGUGUGCUCUGCCUUCUCCAUGGCUAGAGAAAGAGCCGCCUUAGCCAACUCUAAUACAGUCGAUGCGGAUUUCGUGCGAUGAUCUAACGUUAGGGAUUUGAUACAUUCUUCUUCUAGGGACGAGAAUGACGCGGUGCCUUUACAAGCCUUUGAUAUCAGUAAUGAUGGAUAUGGACAUGUCUUUGGUUUGGUUGAUAAAUGGGUAGCAAUGUUGGAUUUUGCAUUGGUAUAUGGCCACCGCGAGAGGAGAAGGAAGGUUAGGAUAUGGAUUGAUAGGUAUGCAUGAGAAGCAUAUAAACAAACCAUCGUUUUAUAUGUUCAACAAAGCUUGUUCUUUGACUAUAGGUUUAAAUGAAAUAGUAGAUUGAAGUUUGUACAUAUAUUAACUUUUGUUGUGUCAAUGGUUUAAAUUGUCCAUUGUUUAGUUCCACAAGUUUUAAACAUGAUAUGUUAUUUAUAGGUUUGGAAUGAACGAUAGAGGAAAAAUAAACUUGUCAACGCUAAUAAUAAAAGAGUGUAUCGAAAAAGAGAGAAAAAAACAAAAAUUCAUUGUGAUUCUUUUGUUAUUUUGUUUUUCAAUGAUUCAAUUCAAUGUCUUAAUUUCUCUCCUAACAUAAAAGUUAGUUAUGGGCAUUCGGUUAUCCAGUUUCGGUUCGUUUCCAUUCCGUUAUCGUUCUUUCGGUUCUAGAGUUUAGUAUCCAUUCAGUUAUUUUGAUAUUUCGGUUCGUUUCAGUUCUUACAGUUCUAAAAUUUAAUAUACAUUCGGUUAUUUUGCUUUGAGUAUUUUUGGAUAUUUCUGUUAUUUUUAUAUUUUUGAGUAUUUUUACUAUUUAUAUAUACUUUUUAGUAUUUUUAAUUAUUUAGUCUAGAAAUGACUAGUAUUUUUGAAAAUAUAAUUAUAUUUCGGAUACUUUUGGUUAUCCAAAAUAUUUCAGUUUGUAUCCACUCGAUUUCGGUUCUUUUGGUUAUAGAAUUUUAAUAUCCGUUAGGUUAUUUUCAAAUUUUCGGUUUUGCUCCGUUUUUUUACAUCGGUUGCGGUUCGGUACAUUAGGUUCGUUUUAUAUGCCCAAGCCUAAUAAAAAUCAUGUUCAUUUUGGUAUUUAUAGCUUUAGUAGACACAUGUUUAGUAAAACAAAUUCUCAAACAAGAAGAUUUAUGGAAUACCUUGUAAGACUACUUAGACUAGUUACAAUGGUUUGGUGGUGAAAAAAACAUUUCCACUACGAUGGUGUGCUGUAAUCAAAGCUAGGUGAUGUGGCAAAUUUAGUAUUGAUAAAUAUCAAUACCCGUGAAAGUAGAACAGAGAAGAUAAGUGUGACAAGUGUUAUAUUUUGAUUGGUUGCUUUGAUUUUUAUUUUUUUUGUUUCAUCUCAACUAUAUAACUUCAAUUAUUUUAUAAUAUUUGUACAUAAAAAUAUCAAAAUUUAUAUCAAAAUUUCUAAUUUUACAUUCUCUAUAAAUAGAGACUAUUUUCAUUUGAUUUGGAUACAGAAAAAAAAACUAUUUUUAGACCCAAAAAAGGUAUAAUCGCCAAAAAAAAAACUUUUGUUUUACCUUUAAAUAUCUUUUUAUCUAAGUGGAUCCAAACAAUAACCCUUUCAACACCCAAAACUCUUCUAAUUACCCUUUUAACUAUGCAAAUCCCAACAAUUAUCAGUUUCAAAAUCAAUCUCCUAACCAACCCCAACAAUUAUCAGUUUCAAAAUCAAUCUCCUAACCAACCCCAACAUAUAUCAAAUUAUGGUUAUCCACUAAAUUUCUUCAUGCCGUAAGCUGUUCCAAACUAUCGUCCAUUUCAUGGAUCGAUGAUGUCUUAUCCAUCUUAAACACCUCCUUAUUUUCCUACUCCAACAGGUAAUGAAACUGAUUCGAAUCUUGGAGCAACUGAUUUUCCCGAGUUUUCUACCCAAAUGGCUCUUGGUGGUAUUAGGGUAUUCAUGAAGCCAUUCCAGAUGCAAAGGAUUCAACUCCUUCUCGUCGGAGAAGUCCCAAAUGGACCACUGAUCAAAAUUUGGUUCUCCUGAGUGGGUGGAUUAAAUUUGGAAGAGACAGUAUUAUUGGCAAAAACUAAAAAUGUGAGUCAACUGGGGUAAAAUUGCUGAAUAUUGUAAUGAACAUUGCUCAUUUGAUCCUCCCCGUGAUGGAGAAGCAUUCAGAAAUCACUAUAAUUAUGUGAACAAAAGCGUGAACAAAUGGGCUGGCGCUUAUGAUAACGCUAAAUGUAUGCAACAAAGCGGGUGGUUGGAGGAUGAUGUAUUGGUAAAAGCGCAUGAAUUAUAUUCAAGUGCUGGUAAAAGAAGUUUCAAAUAGGAGGAAAUACUUAUUCUGGAAGCAGUGGAUCUAAAAGAGCCCACGAGAGUGAUGCUAGUGACUCAAACUCUGUAGGAUCUAGUGCUCGUCCAAUGGAAAGAGAUGCUGCUAAGAAAAAGCUAAAAAAAAAGGUAAAGGCGCAGCGUUGAAAGUGGUCAACGAAGAGUCGAACGAAUUUUAACAAUUCAAGGCACAAGAGUUGGAUAGGUUGGAGAAAAUAACUAUGAUGCACAGUGAAACAAACCAAUUGAUUAAGGAAAAGACUCAUGCUAAAAAGAUGAAGAUGUUUAUAGAGCUAACUGAAAAAGAGAAUCUCGAUGACAAGAGCAAAAAGCUAUUGCAACAAUUGAGCCACGAUCUAUUUGGAAAUUAAUUAUUGUCAAGUGGUUAUCUGUAUUUUGUCACUUCAUGCUUUAACGUGUGUUUGUCACUUUCUCCUUUAAUAAUUUGUAUUGUCAUGUUAUGCUUUAAUAAUGUGUGUUUGUCACUUUCUCCGUAAUUUGUAUUGUCUUCUAUGCUUUUUUUUUUUGUGCGAAAUAUUGUCUUAUAUGCUUUAUUAAUAUUAUCCAUGAUUUUAAAUAGAGAAUCUUAUCUUAUCCAUGACUUUUGGUUUGAAGCACUCAAUUCGAAUCCAAGGCACCAACAAUUUAAUUCGUUGUUUCCAUUUUUUUUAUAAAUUAGAACUCAUUCUUCCAUUGAUGUACAAACCAUAAAUCUUACCUUACUAAAAAUCUCAAUGGAUCCAUCAGAAUAUCCUUUUGACAUCAAAGCUUACAAGAGGCAGUCUGAAAUUGAAGAGAUGUAUAUCAUCAAUCGGUUUAGGGAGCGUCGAAACAAAAUAGGGGAAGACUAUCCACCUCGUAGCAAGAGAAAAUACUUUAAAAGAGACCAUGCAUCAGCAAAAUUAAAGAAUAUUGACGACUACUUUGCCAAUGAACCUAUAUAUGACGAUGCAAUGUUUCGUCGGUGAUUCCGGAUGAGAAAACAUAUUUUCUUUCGGAUCGUUGAAGACUUAUCAAACAGCGACAACUAUUUCACCCAACGAUAUGACGCAGCCAAGAAAGAAGGUAUAUCUCCAUUACCAAAAUAUACUACGACCAUGCGAAUGUUUGCAUAUGGUGUGGCAGCUGACGCGGUGGAUGAAUACAGUAAAAUUGGAGGUACUACUACUUUAGAGUGCUUGCGAAGAUUCUGUAAAGGAAUCAUAAAGCUGUAUGAGACAGAGUAUCUCAGAGCCCCAACUCAAGAUGACCUCCAAAGAAUUUUACGUGUUAGUGAGAUGCGAGGGUUUCCCGGGAUUAUUGGGAGUAUUAAUUGCAUGCAGUGGGAAUGGAAAACUUGUCCUACAGUGUGGGAAGGUCAAUUUACUCGAGGAGAUAAGGGAACCACCACUGUUAUUUCUGAAGCAGUUGCAUCUCAUGAUCUAUGGAUCUGGCAUGUUUUUUUGGAUGUCCGGGCACACUAAACGAUAUAAAUAUCCGUUCACCGGUGUUCGAUGAUGUUGAACAAGGAAAUACUACAAGAGUGAAUUUUUUUGUGAGCCAACAUCCGUAUAAUAUCGCUUACUAUCUAGCUGAUGGUAUUUAUCCUUCUUAUCCUACUUUCGUCAAAUCGAUUAGGCUACCUCAAAGUGAACCAGACAAGUUAUUUGUACAACGUCAAGAGGCGUGUCAUAAGGACAUCGAACGUGCAUUUGGAGUGCUGCAAGCUCGAUUUAAAAUCAUUCGUAAACCAGCUGGCCUGUGGGACAUAUUCGAGUUGGCUAUCAUCAUGAGAUCGUGUAUCAUAUUGCAUAAUAUGAUUGUUGAGGAUGAACGAGAGACAUAUGCUCAACACUGGACGGAUUAUGAUCAAUUUGAGGCAAGUGGGUCGAGUACACAACAACCAUUCUCGACCCAAGUGCUACUCCUAUUUGCAAAUCAUGUGCGUGAUAGAUCCAAAUUGCGUGAUUCAAAUGUACAUCACGAAUUGCAAGCAUAUCUAGUCAAACACAUAUGGGCACAAUUUAGAAUGUUCUUGUUGUCUGCUUAUUGUAUUUUUGUAUUUUAAAUUUGUGUUCAUUGUAUGUGUUUUAGUAAUAAUAAUUUUUUCUUCUCGUUUUAAUUAUUUGUAAAAGUUUUUAAAAAUAUUAUAUAAAAUAAAAACAAAUAUAAACACAACAAUACUUUAUAAAACUAUUUAAUGUUUAAUUCUUUUAAAUUUAAUUUGAUAUUAACGAUGGUUAAUAAUAUGUAAUCACAAAAAACAUAAACAUAAAUAAAAUGAAAAAUAUGGAAUAAAAAUGGUGGGGUAAGAUGUUGUAAUUUUACUAAACAAAAACUAUUGUAAAGAUAAAAAUUGGGUAGGUGUUGAAUAAUGAUGUGGAAGAAAGAGAAGAUGAUGUGGAGUGUUAAAAGUAAAAAAGUGGGUGUUGUAAAUGAGUAACCAUUGUGGAUAGUCUAAGGAUAAAAAUUGUAUAGGUGUUGAAUAAUGAUGUGGAAGAAAGAGGAGAUGAUGUGGAGUGUUAAAAGUAAAAAAGUGGGUGUUGUAAAUUAGUAACCAUUGUGGAUAGUCUUACAAUGGACACGUUGAAAAAAAUAUUUGAAUAUGGUGCAAUGGUUGUUUUAAUAAAUGUUGUAGAGGAUGUGGCAAAUUUGGUGAGUAGGGAAAAAUAUCGUUUAAUAUUCCAACUUUCAAAUUAUGGCCAUUUUAUACCUCAACUUUAUAUGUGACCAUUUUAAAUAUGAAGAUAUCGUUGACCAACCGUUUAAACCAUAAACAUUAGUUGACCAGGCUAAAAAAACUAACCGUUAUCACUCGUUAACAGAUUAUCUAACGUCCGUUAACAUCUCCAUUAGCUACCCCUAAACGACGUCGUUUUCAUAUUUUAAAAAUAAAUAACGAACGUAGGAUUCAAACUUGUAACCUAGAGAAAAACUAGAGACUUACUUAACACCCUCACCAACAGUAUUUUAUUGGUGAACUUUGAGAAACAUAUAUUUAUUAAAGUUUUCUCCUUCAACUUUAACCUACAAAACAAAACCAUCUCCAUAGCCGCCGCCUCCAAAUCCGUGUUCUCUCUCCAUUGAUUUUUUUAAUCUUAAUCAUAUAUUGUUUUUUGUUGAUUGAAAAAAAUUUGUAUUUGCUAAUUCAAUUCAUCUGGAACCUAUUUCUAUGAACACCAUUGAUGGAUUAGUCAAUUGAUAUGAAAUCAGUUACACAAACAGCACUAGUUCUUCGUCGUCUCACAUGCACCUUCGUUGUCUCACGUACACCUUGUGUAUAUGAUCUGUGAUUGCUCUUAAGCGGAUCUGAUGUAUUUAACGGCAUAAUAUAUAAUUAUGUGUUUCCGAAUAAUAAUUAUUAAACACUUUAUCUUAGUUGGUGUGGACAAGCAUAGGGAGCACUCGAAAGUUACGGGUUCGAAUCUUGAGUAAGUUAUUUCUUUUUAAAAUAUAAAAAUGACGUCGUUUAAGGGUAGCUAAUAGAUGUUAACGGACGUUAGAUAAUCUGUUAACGACUGAUAACAGAUAGUUUAUUUGGCCUGGUUAACGAAUGUUUAUGGUUUAAACGGUUGGUUAACGAUAUCUUCAUGUUUAAAAUGGCCACAUAUAAAAUUGUGGUAUAAAAUGGCCAUAAUUUGAAAGUUGGAGUAUUAAACGACAUUUUUCCUGUUGUAAUUUGUCAACACCGUGAAUUUUACUGGGUGGGGUUAUCUUUGUCUUGUGUUGUGUUUUCAUUGGUCACUAAAAUUUGACUUUUUCGUCCAAUAAUUUUUGAACUCAAUUAAAUUAUAAUAAACUUUUUUUUUUGUCAUCUGAUAAUUUAUUAAAGAAAAAAAUAAUAAAGUACAUAGUUAGAUCCAAAAGCCAAGUAGAACAGAAAGAGAAACAAAAUAAAAGAGAAACAACGAGAGAUACAAAAUGAAAUUUAAACUUUACUCUCCUCAAACACUUGAUUGUGAAACCAUGAAGGCUCUCCAAGUGCUAUGUAAGACUGAAACCUUCUUUCUUGAAUCACACUUCGAGAAAUGGAUCGCGCGAUCAGAUUUGCGUUUGUGGCAAUAUGACGGAAUGUACAAGAUUCAAAUGCACCAGCAAUCUCAUGGAUUUGUGCUAACCAAUUCCUGUAGAAAGGCCAUUUGGACGGCUGCAAAACGGCGUUAACUGCGGCUGGAUAUUCCAACUCUAUUAUCACCUUGGAGACGUGAAUAUCUUGAAAUGCUUUCAACGACCGUAGAAUGCAGCACAGCUCAGCCCCUGUUCGAUCUUGAAUUGGCGUAAACGCAUCUCGUGCAUGGUGUUUAGCUUGCCCUAUAUCUCUUACAAUUCAAGCUCCUCCACACAUCGAUUGUUUAUUUAUCCAAAAAGAAUUCAAAAUGCAUUUAAGAAUACCUUCUUGGGGUUUCCUCCAUUUGUUUCCAUCCAAAUUGGAGGUGAUUGCCGAGAGAAUACUGUUGAAGGCUACGUGUUCACCAUUUUCCAAUGCAUUGUGUCUUCAUACGCUUUUUGAACUAAAACAUGAAAAUUCCAUACCUUUACUUUGAAAACGGUAUGAUUACGAUUCUUCCAAAUUGCCCAUAGAACCCAUGGAAUUGAUAGUCGAGUUUGCUUUGGUAUGUGCUUGUCUUCGAUAACAUUCAAUAGAUGAGAGAAGUUUGCUAGUAAGGUUGUUGAAGAAAAACCUUGAUCCGAAGCUUGCACAAAAUGCUGAGAUUAAUAUGCUUAAAAGGAGAAUAUGGAAUCUAAAAUCUGAGCCACAAAUCAAGCUUUUCUGUUGGCGUGCUCUUUCUGGUGCUUUGGCUGUGGCAGAACGUUUAAGCUCACAGGGAAUACAACAUGACACAAAGUGCCAAAUUUGUGGUAUAGCUACAAAAACAAUAUGUCAUACUCUAUUCUCUUGUGACGUAUAGAAUAAGAAAAUGAUGAAUUUUGGUGUAAAUUAUUUAUGUAUCUAAUAGUAGUUAUUAAAAAAACCAUUGUAGUAUAUGAAAGUAAACUGAAUGUUGAAUGAUGAUGUGUAAGAGAGAGAAGAUGAUGUGUAGGUUGUUGUAAUUUUAAACCAAUGUAAAUAGUCUAAUAAAAAAAUAUUUGGGUUCACCCCACUCUUGUUCACCCUCUCUUAAUAAGCCAAUCAAAAUACAACAAAAUGCCAUGUCGUUUAAUAUUUAACAAUUAAAAUAUUUGGGUUCACCUCUAGGGUGGUUAAAGUUUAGAUUUUAUAAAUAAUUGAAAAUAUAUUUUGGUUGAGUUUAUAAAAUAGUGGUUAGAGUUUAAAUUUUAUAAAUAAACAAAAUUAUAUUUCGGUUUGGAUUGAUAAAAUAGUGGUUAGGUUUAGAUUUUGUAAUUAAACGAAAUUAUAUUUCGGUUUGGGUUGAUAAAAUAGUGAUUAGGUGUUAGAUUUUGUGAUUAAACUAAAUUAUAUUUUGGUUUUGGUUGAUAAAAUAGUGGUUAAAGUUUAGAUUUUGUGAUUAAACGAAAUUAUAUUUUAGUUUGGGCUGAUAAAAUAGUGGCUAGACUUUAGAUUUUGUAAUUUAAUUAAUUUAUUUUUUCAAUAUAUGAUAUGUCAAAUUCUAAUUGGUCAUUAAAAAAUGGUGAACCCAAGAAUUGUUCUUGUAAUAAUUAAACUUCUUAGAACAACAAAAAUUUACAAUAAAUUUAUAAAAGGAACAAUUAAAAAAAAAAAAAGGAGCAAAAAGCAUGAUAAAAGCUGAGAGAGGAAACUUAAAAAGCACACUUGUUUCCAAAACUAAAUAGGGUCAGUCCCAAAAUUGGAUUUGUAUAGUAACAAAUGAAUAACGGAAAAGAGAGUUUCAAGAUCUACGAACAACAGCAGUAGCGAAAUAAGGAUGAUGGGUGAACUCAAACGAUACCUUAAGCGAACGGUCUUGACAGAAAAGGUUCACAGCAACAAUAUUGCGUUCCGCGACUUUCUCUAAUCCCGUGACUUCAGCCAGCUUAUCAGGAUCGUUGGCGUAACCGACCUUUAUGUCCUUAGCGAUCUUUUGAGCAUCGUGAAAGUACUCAUACAUAGGAAGAUACUGCAGCAAAAGUAAAUAGAUACAACUUUACUUGCAUGUUCAAAACUCUUUCUAAUCGAACAUAGUAGAUUUAUACGUGUACACAUUCAUCACUAAAACAUUGUAAACAUUACCUAUGUUAUUAUUUGCUCAAUGAAGAUUGGGAUCUCAAUUUUCAUGUGUUUAUAUUUAUUAAUCAAGUUAUUGCUUUUAAGCAAAUAGUUAACUAAUAAAUCCUACAUAGAUAUAUUUUAAAUAAACUGUGAAUCCUAAAUUUUUCCGUAUUUUCCGAAUUACCUGAACCGAACUCAAGAUUUUGCGAUUUAUGGUAUUAAAGCAGAUAGUGAUUGUAGGUACCCGGACUACCUUUACAGUACUCGAUUCCCUAUCACCCAACCAAUUUUUUUAAGUGUAUGCUUCGGGUAGUAGAUUUAGAUAUACCUGAAAUAACCAUAUCCAACCCUUACCAGCUAUUACCUGACUCUAUACCCUAAAUGCACAUGCCUACUUCUACAAUUCAUUUGACCAAGUAAACAGGAUUAAGCACAAAAACAAAGUUGAAUAAAGCACACUUACGUCGAGACGAGCAUGGGAUGUGGAUUUUGAGAACGAUUCAUAUGCGUCAUAUUCUGGAAGGGAUGCCUUCUGAAGGAGUUCAAAAUGCUGUAUAAAUUUCUGCAUGUCAAGGAAAAUGGGUAGUUGAAGUCAUACACAGGAAGGGAUAAAACCACUCACCCAUUACUAAGGCUGAGGAUUUUUAUCUUACACAUUAAUUCAAUAACUAUGCAACAGAUAAAGAGACUUAUGCUUACCUCAUUUUCGGUAUUAAAAGGUCCUUGACUCUUUAAAGACAUUCCUUCAUUUCUCAAAGCUGCAAUCAUCUACGGGUAAAUACACAAGGUUUGGUCAGGUUUAGAGUACUUGAUAUCAGCAAUAGAAGGAGCUGGAAACCAAGAGAUUGAAGACAAAAUUACCACUGUGAGGCCUUGUGCAAGACAGGUCUGACAUUUGAGAAACAAUACCCAUAGACUAAUCCGAUCUUCCCGAGCCAUGUCCCUAGAAUACUCCUUAUUCCUCUUUGCUUUUCUUUCCUCUGAUCCAGAUGAAGGUAAAUGCAUUAUAAAAAGCUACAAAUACACACUAUGCAGUUAUGCCAAACCAAUUACUGUACAGAUGGUUCAUCUCCGAAACACUAGGACACAAAAUAAAAACAAAUGGAUAUAUGAAUGCUUACCAGUGUUCACAACGAUUAAGACCCUGAAACGUGCUCUUUCGGCAAGCUUCCAGAGUAUAAUAUACAUGUACCAGUAUACCAUGCAAUAUUCACUUGGCGAGUAGAGGUCUAGGUCAAAUCCCAGCAUGAGAAAGCGAAUUGCCACCCAAUUAAUUUGCUCUUCUAAUCCACCAUAUAUAUGGUUUAAAAUGAGUAGAGACUUAUCCUGAAAGGUACAUAAAUGCAAGUUAACACAAAAUUCAAUAUCUGCUUAUCAAUAGAGCCAAAAUUUUCCGAAAGAGAAAACAGAAGUUGUAGGAAUUUUGACUACUGGUUUGUUCAUGCUAACAAUGAAUAGACAGCCGUCAACUAGAUUCAGAUAGAGGUUUGAUUAAAUGGACCCAUAGUGAUGGUAGUAAACCUACCCCAUUUUUCGAACUGCGUGAUGUAUCUUGCUGCAUCAUUUGACCAACAGCAAUCCCCAUCUGCCAAAUACAGGAAAAUGUAUGAAUGAGAUCUUGACACAAAAACCCAAAUCAAUAUGCAAACAAUUUUAGGGUAAGCGAGCUUACAUAUAGUUAAGUAAAGAAUAAUACAGUUCCAACAAAGGCACAAAUGGUAUAACCUGCACAUGGAAUACGCUCCAGUCAUUUAAGAUUUUCCCAAGCUUACGCCUCUGCCAUGGGGUAUUAGCGCAUAGUAUUUUAAGUAGAUUAACCAUCAACUGCACCACAAAAUGAGAAUAGAGAUCAAACAGAGAUUUCUAAGAAAGGAGCCAGUUGAAUAAUUAUCUAACUUUUUCAGGAUCCAGAGGCUACCAAAACCACAAAACAUAGACAAGGCAUUCUCAUCAAAGUCCCCAUUAAAACAAAUAAUUUUUUGUUGUUUCAAUCUUCUUGAUGAUUGCAAAUUAGUUACAUCCACACAUGCUGAAAUUCUCUGAGAUUGGGGCUUAUACGCCAGACACCGAAUAUUGAACAAAACCAAUGAAAGAUUAUUCUUUUCAAGGUUUUACCAAGUUCCAAACUCUUUUCAAGGAAGAAUAAAGAGCUACCUCAUACACGUUUGUAGAAAAAAAUGUACCCAACGUAUUCUUUUAAUAUACUGUGUUUACCUGAUUAAGUUGAAGAAUGUACUCAUUCGUAUGGAGGCCAUGGUUCUUGGAGACAUCUAAUGCAAGAGAUCUGGCGCAAAUUGUCAAAAAGGUAUCACGGCCGUAAAGUUUCCCAUCUUGCACAAGGAGAAGCUGUAGAACAAGAUUAUUUAUUGAGUAUAAAAGGUAAAAGCAUUUUGCUAGCUUAAUACAUAAUUUAUUCACAAAUAUUGCUAAUAUCAUAACAAAAAUGGACAACCAUAUCAAUGCUUAACAGAAAUUUACAAUCAGAAUCAACCUCAACUACAAAUAUUGGAUCUAUAUUCUUAUAAGUCUUCAUAAGAAAGAAAAAUGAGAGUGUCAGCCACUACAUAUUCCAGUGUCAUCAUAAAUAAUAUCUAGAUAACAAUAAUAGUAAAGAGUCAACAAGAAGAAUAAGCAGAGCAUUCAACAGGCCUGUUGGCGAAAUGGGGCUUGAGGUGGUUCACGAGAGUUGGAUAUUCUCUAGUCCAUUGGUUCUAAGUUUAUGCAACUGUUCUUACAGAAAUAAAGGAGAUUUCUACUAUAGUCAUAUGGCUGAAUCACUCAACUCUAAGUGACAAUGAAUUGAAAAUGAGUGCUAAUGAACACAAAACUGCAAAGCAAGGAAGCGGGUAAAAGAAGAAGCCAUAUUAUCCACUAUACAAACACACCCUAGUGGAUGUAUGCGAACAUCAGUGCAACUACAGCCAAAAUAGUUACUCAAAACAAGAAAACAAAAUGAUAAAUGGGUAUCUGAAAGCACAGAGCUGCAUGAUAUUGAUGCGUUAAGUUAAAGUAACGCACCUGAAGAUGAGCCCUAGCAACCAAAUCAGGACGAGAUUUUUGAAACUGAAUCACAAACUCCAAGACGGCCUCUAAAUCUGGUUCCAAUGAAAAUGCACAGAUCUUAUCCAGAUUGUGAAGAAGUUUCACAUAAUAGUCAAUAGCCUGGAGAAUCAAAAAUUGAAAAAAGUUACUAAAAAGUUAUAUACACACAAACUAAAUUACGUAUACAGAGAAUUUAGAAGUCCCAACCUUUUUCCAAGAAAGAAGUUUAAUGGCACGUGGCGGCGUUGGAGCUGAUAAUCUUUUGUUUAAAGUAGGAUCAAAUCCAAUGGGGGACCGACCAGAAGCAGUUGUACUUUCUUCUAUCUCGUUUACGCCAUUCUCGAAAAUAUCUAAUCUUAGAAAUUCUGCUGAAUCCAGAACAGAAUCUAGCUCUGAUAUGCAAUAGCCUAUAUGUUUCCUUGCCAAUUCGAGGCCACGUCCUUGUGGUCGUCUCAUACAAUUAAGAGCAUGUAGAAAAUGCUGAAAGUUAUUGAGGAUAUGUUAAAACAACUAGCAGUGCAAAAGUAUAUAACAGCUACUAUUUUUUUUUUUAAAAUGGCUUACGAAACAAAAUAAUAAUAACAUCAUGAAUCACAUGUCUGGCGAGAAUUUUUAACCAAAAAUAAGGGUAAACAGGUAAUAAAAGCUGCCAUAUACUCAAAAUUUAGUCUCUGCUAAGCUUGUUCAUUCUUGUAAGUUGCAUAACAUGGAAAAUUUAACACAAUAAAACAUAUAUUAACUUUGUCUACCACUCCCCAUUGUGAGGUUAGGUUGAAGAAAAGCAACUCAUCAUACUCUUGUUACGUGUAGUUUAUCAAAGAAAGAAUAAAUAAAGCAUGAGACCUUACGGAACACUGGAUAAAAGACCAAAUGCAAAUUUUAAGUACUAAUUGUAGUUUUUCUUUUUCAAAGCAAGCAAUAAAAAAUUCUAUUCAUCGAUGGCCACCAGAAUACUAAUAAAAGGAACAGACUUGGGACUAUAUUAUACACUAGUUAACAUGACUUAAGUUGGGAAAACCUGUAAUUAACAACAUUUAUCAAAGAAAGAAUAAAUAAAGCAUGAGACCUUACGGAAACGUAUCCGGCAUAACAGAGAUUUGCAAAAACUCUCUUCCAGAUGGGGAUUACUUUGUAGAGGUUCCAAUUCUGCAUCUUUAACAAACAAAAGGAAAGAAAGUUAUUGUUCUCAGUUCGUGCUGCUGUGCACCAUUGUUACAAAUAAACAAUAGACCAUAUCACUCAAAGAGAUGGUAAAUUUUUAAAAAGAAAAAAUCAAUUGUAAUAAUCAGCGGACUUCACAUAUAAAUCAUUACUCAAUAGAAGACUCAAAGUUAUCGUAUAUAGGCCAGAGAGGCUAAUUUCAAGUUGGUAUAUGCUUAGAGAGCACUUGCAAAAUAUCUAAUUCCAAUGCAUUAUACUGUCUCCAAAUCACAAAUCACCAUUAAAUGUGUAAACAACAUAUCAUAAGAAAAGAAGCAACAGAAGACUCUUCGAUCCCCUCAUAUGAAUACGCUCUUCAUAUUUCAAUUCUGCAAGUGUGUGUAUGUAAAAUAAAAAAGGAAGAUAUGCAAAGCAAAAAAAGUACCUUCCAACAUUCUCCUUCUUGUGGCCUUACAAGCACGCAGCUGACGACAGAUAGUUUCUUCAACCGCAUUCAAGAGUAACAAGCCCUUGGCAUCUUCUUCUCCACUAAAAGGAAGACCAUAUGUCAUCGUAAAAAGAUCCUCUUCCUGUUAAUGAGCAGGUAUCAGGUGAAUCAUUCAGAGUAAACUAUCCAUGAAGCAGGGGCAUCUGUCUAGUUAAGAGAAACUUCUAUCCAAAAUAUCACAACAAAUCUUCUCAAGUAUUUUAUCUUCAUUUAGCUGCAUAAUGGUGGAAAUUUCUACAGAAAUAAGUUAUACGCUCUGCUAAUCAUCUCAAGAUUAAAUAACAACUGCUUAGGCUAGAUGAGAACGGAUGCCAAGACUUCAUUAGAAGAGUAAAGUCAAGUGAAUCCAGUUUUCGUCUCUGAUGUCAUAAGCUUAAGGUUAAUGACAACUAUGAAAUGUCAAAAUGGGUUAGCAACUGUUUUUCUUUACGCCAUAAAAGAAUGUUGGACAUAGCAAAAGAUUUUAGGAGCAAACAUUGAACACAAACUAAACCUUUAAUGAAAAGCCAAAAAACAUACAGAAACAUUUGCUUAGCCCCACAAGAAUAAAAGAGGACCAAAAAUUGUAAAAGUUAAUUACUUCAUUUGUACGCGCAUCUGAAACAACAGAAACAACUGCCCUGCAAGUUGCUCGGAUGACCCUACAAUAAGAAUGUAAUAGAGCCUGUGAAGAUGUCCUCUCAGGCCUCAGAACAUAGAUGCAUGAAAACACAGUUUGGGCCAAUGAAUGACCCAUGUGCCAUGUUGCCUGCAAAAGAGUAGAGACACAAAAUGUGGAUAAAUCAACUCCAAGGCUGACAUGUUAGCUACAUACAUAUCUCUUUAUCACAAUUAUACCUUGCAAACUCACACAGUAUUAUAUGAGCACAUGUAAAGAAGAGAUUACCUCACACGCCAGGAGAUGGUCCAUAAUGUCAAUGAUGGAUUGCACAUUAACAGUACUAUCCGAACUUAUAGGGACGGGCGCAAAACCACUUUCGAUGGCUUCAUCUAUAGAAUAAAACGUAGACACCAUACCAGAAUCCAUCUUUGGGUCCAUUAUCUAGUACAAAGCAAGGACACCACACCAUGUUUGUUAUACACACUUAUAGCAACCUCACAAUCUAAGUUUACAGCUAAGAACAGUCCAAACAUAUUUUGUUACAAAAUAGAAACCUCUAAAGCAGACAUGGCAGCAAAAAGAUUGAAAUUAUCUCCAUUUAUGAGUUCACCUUCUUGAAGAUCUGCAAACAGAACGACUCAUGAAACUAAAACAAGUGGGGAAUACAAGCAAAAUAGGCAAUUGCGAUCAGUACCAGAGCAGGCGGCGGAGAGGAGAGGUGAUACAUCGGCCCAGACGGAGUUAUUAUCACCGGAAGGGAUAGAAGAAGAGGUUUUAGAGUCGUGAUGAAUCGGAGAAGACGAAUCUUCAUCUUCCCUAACUGAUUGCAUCGUUUGUUGUUGUUGUUGCUCAGGAAACUUGAAAAUCGCUUUAAUCUCUCGUAAUUGGUUUUUUUUGCUACUUAUGGUAUAAGUUUCGUCUUGCUCGAUGGAACACUUUGCCUGGGCUGUUUAGGGUAAUUUUCGGGUCGGAUCCUCAGCGGAUACCCAACCCCCAAUCACCCGAGCCUCCUGCCGUCUUUUUUUUAUAAAUCAACCUUUAAAACCAACAAAAAGAUUUUCAAAAUUUUAAAUCUAUAGUUUUAUGGGUGAAUUUGCGGUAUAAUCAAAAUCUAAUGUAAAAUAAAAAAUAUAAAAUCUUAUUGAAAAAUAUUAAGAAAGUAAUUAGAUUAGUGAAAAGAUAAAAUUGUAUAGUGAAAGACACGCACAAUAAAAAAAAAGAAGAGGUUUUGAAUGUUUUGUAGAUUUUGUAAGAGUUUUUGGUUUUUGUUUUUUAAAAACUUAUUUUUAUACCAAUUAAGAUUUUAAAAUUUUGGUUUCCCUACAAUUUAGUAAAUUUAUUUUAUUGUAGUUUUCCAUUCAUGAUUUUAGUUUUUUAGUUUUCCUAAAAUUUAGGAAAUCUAGUUUUUAUUCAAUCAACGUUAUUUUUCUCAAAAACCAAAAACCGAUUUUUUGGGGUUUUUAAAACAAAAAUAUAAUAACAAAAAUCUAAAACUAAAAUCUAAAAUCUAUAAACUAAAAUCUAAACUCAAAAACUGAAUCAAAAAUCAGCAUCCAUUCAGAGCUAGAGUAUAUGAUGAUAUAUGUAAAAAAGUAGAGAGAAUAAUAAAGAGGAAUUGCAAAACUAACACAUUUUUACUAAAAUAUUAAGAAUAUAACAUUAUAUAUGUAUCAGUUAACUAACUAACCUAAAUGGUAGAUUAAAUGAUCAUAGGUGGUGGUUUGGAUCCGGCGACGGCGGUGGCUCCGGCGGCGGCGGUGGCUCCGGCGACGGCAGUGGCUCCGGCGACGGCGGUGGCUCCGGCGACGGCGGUGGCUCCAGGGACAGCGAUGGCUCCGGUGACAGUUCUGGUGGUGGCUCCGGCGAUAGCGGUGGCUUCGGCGAUAAUUCCGACAAUAACAGUGUCUCCAGCGAUAGUUCCGGCGGUGGUUCCAGGGACGGUGGAGGCUCCGGUGACAAUGGGAACACCGACGAUGGGGUGGUUGCUCUGGUGAUGUCAUUCGUUCUCGUAACGGGGGUAGCUCCGACGGCGACGGUGGUGUUGAUGACGGUGGCUGUGGCGGCGGUAGUGGGUGUAGUGAUGAUUGUUGUGGUGGUGGUUAAUGGUGAUUAUUGUGAUGGCGAAAUUAUAAUAUAAUAUAUUAUACAGUUAUUAUAGUGUAAAUUUUUUCUAAUAGGCUAGUUUCUUAAUUUGUAAUUUUUUUUAAGUUAUACAUGCAAAUUCCCAAAAUACUAAUGACAUGGCUAAAUUAAUAUCACCCCAAAUAAUUUUGCUUGUUGAUUUAGUCUUAUAAAUUUUGCAAUAAUUUUAUAAGAACAUAGAUUUUUUUGAGUAUAACAUGAUUUAAAUUUUUAAAAUCUAAUACAAAUUAUUUAAAUUAGGGAACAAUGUUUGUCUAAACCACACAAAUAAAAUAGUAUAGAACAAAACGUAGAUAAUUCAAAAGGCCGAGUUAAACCGCUCUAAUAAAAAAAAUACUAUCCCUAUGAGAUACAAUAUUGGCAAUCCAAGUAACUAAGGUAAACUAUAGCGGUGAGCCGGUGACGUUGACGAUGGUAAUAGUGGUGGUGGCAACGAUGAUGGUAGUGGUGGCAGUGGCACUAAAAAUGACAUUGAUGGUGGUAAUAUUAAUUGUUAGUGGUGACAUGAUGAUGGUAGCGGCAAUGACGGUAGUGGCGGUGGGAUGGUAGUGUAGUAAUAAUUGUUACUUGUUAGUAAUGGUAAUUAUAAACUAGUUUUUUAUUUUAUUUUAUUUUAAUAUAAAAAUAUAUAUAGAAGAUGAGAUUACUAGCUAGAGAGAAAGGGAGAAAGAAAAAUCCACAUGUAUUGAUAAAUAAAUAACCAGAGCAAAAUACUAAUAAUUUACAAACUCCCAAAUAUUGUGUUAUAAAUAGGUUUAGUGUUUUCAAUGGGUUGCAAAUAAAAGAGUCAAAUAGGUAGAAGAGACCUUUGGGGAAACUAUAAAAUUUAGCAUUCGUGGUAGAUGAAGAAGGGAGAAUCUAAUGAAAGAAUCAGCAUGAAAUGCAACAGAGGAGGGGAAAAAAGAAGGUGUAUGUAGUGUAGAGGGCAAAGUUAUCAUUAAUACAAAAAAUACAUAAUAUAUCAACCUUUUUUUUGUUUGAUGUUAGUUUUUUAAUUUAUAAUUUUUUGUUGGUUAUUUAUGCAAAUUUCCCUAGUUUUAUUUAAUCACCAUCUUAUUAUAUAAAGUACCAUUUUGAAAGUUACUAACUCACAUAAUGGUGUCACGUGUCAAGUCUAAUAAUCAGAUAUUUACAUAUGUCAUUAAAGAUUUACCUUUUUAUUCUCUUAUAAAAAUAAAAAAACCUAAAAAAGUAAACAAAUUUACAUAUACUAAUUUUUAUAUCUAUAUAUAUGUAUAUAAUAUUUUGAUUAACCAAUAGGAAAAUUAACAAAAAAAAAUUUUGGUAGGGUGAGGGGGACCAACCCUUCAUUUAUUAUAGAAAAAAAAAUAGAAAAUUACAUACGAACAUUAACAAAUUUGCUUUUACAUGUGAUAUUGGUCAAUUAAAUAAAUCUAGCAUGCAUUAACUAAUUAAAAAGACCAUCGAAAUAUUGAUUUUUCCCGCCUAAAAUAUUACAAAAAUAAAUUUCCCGCAAAAAACAUUUCAAAAAAAAAGUCCGCCCAAAGUUUUUUUCCAAAAAUAUUUUUCCUACAAAAACCUUUUUGGCGGGAAAAAGAUUUACAAUGGGUUUUAAAAGAUUUUUAAAGGCUUUACAAGAGUUUUAAAUGAUUUACAAGUGUUUUUGAAAGAUUUUUAUAUGGUUAACAAGGGUUUUAAAGGAUUUUAAAAAAGAUUUAAAACCCUUUAAAAACUUUUGUAAAUCUUUUUAAAAUAUUUUGUAAGGGUUCAAAAGAUUUUUAAAAUGGUUCAAAAUUAUGAAAGGGUUUACAAGGGUUUUUGAAAAGAUUUUUAAAUGGUUUACAAGGGUUUUAAAGGAUUUACAAGGUGUUUUAAAAGAUUUUUAAAAGAUUUACAAGGGUUUUAAAAUCCGUUAAAAACACUUGUAAAUCUUUUUAAACCCUUUUAUAAGGGUUCAUAAGAGUUUUAAAAUGGUUCAGAAAGAGUUACAAAUGUUUUAAAAUAAUUACAAAUUAUUUUAAAUCUUUAACAAAAUGAUUUAAAGACUUUAUAAGAGGUUUAAAAAGAUUUUAAAAAGAUUUACAAAGGUUUUAAAAAUCCUUGUAAAUUGUUUGAAAACCAUUGUAAAAGGUUUUAAAAUGAUUUAAAAAAGGGUUUAAAAGGGGUUUAAAAGUAUUAACAUAUGUAUUUAAAGACUUUAUAAAGAUUUUAAUAGGUUUAAAAAUGAUUCACAAGAGUUUUUUUAACAACUUUACAGAGCUUUUUAAAAACUUUACAAGGUUUUCUUAAGAGUUUUUAAAGGGUUCUUAAAAAUUUUACAAGGAUUUUUAAAUUCUUUUUUUUGUAGGGAAACAAUUUUGAGGAGAAUAUUUUUUUUGGCAAGGAAAAAGUUUACAAGGAUUUUUGACGAGAAUAUCUUUUUGGCGGGGAAAAUAAAUUUUGGUGCAAAACAUUUUUGGCGGAAAAAUUUCAGUUUCUAAUUAUAUGUUCUUACUAGAUUUUAACCCGCGGUGUACCGCGGGACUAUUUAUUUUAUUAAAAAUAACUAAAAAUAUAUUAUUUUAUAAAUUAUCUGUAUGUAACAUAUUGUUUGUAUUUUAUAAAUAUAUAAUCCUAAUUUCUAUAUAUUGUACAAUCCCUUGAUUUUAUCAUGGAGUACACCGUAAGUCGAUUUUUAAAAUUUAAAAUUUAAAAUUAUAUAUGAUUUUUGUUAAGAUUGUUUCUUUUGUCAUAUAUUUUAAAUUAUAUCAUUGUAUUUUAAUUGUUAGUUAUAGGAUUUCACCCGUUGUAUAACGUGUCGUAUUACUAUAAACUCAAACCCGUCUUACCAUCUAAUUCCGUUCAAUGAAAUUAAACAUAUUUAAUGGAUUUCAUCCUAGGUAUAUUGUCUCAUAUUACUAUCGACCCAAACCCGUCCUACCAACUAACCCCGUUCAAUAAAAUGAAAUAUUAUUUUAUUAUUUUUGUUUUAAUAAUACUUUAAUUUGAAAUAUAUAUAAUUCAAAUCAAUUUCAAACUUUUUAUUUUAAAUGGUUAUUUAAUUGUUAUAAUUUAUAAAGUUCAUAUAUUUUAAUAUUCUAAACUCGUCAUACCAUCUAAUCCCGUUCGGUGAAAUUAAACAUUAUUUUUUAAUUUUUUUGCUUAAAUAAUAUUUUUAUUAACAGAUUUAUAAUUCAAAUAAAUUUAAAAGGUGUCGUUCAAAUAGUUAUUUGAUUUUUUAUAGAUUUCACAUCUAAAAUAUUUCUCUAUAUGUAACAUAUAGUUUUGUAUUUUAGAAAUAUUAUAAACGUUUUUUCCUUAAAUAUUAUAAACGUUUUAAAAACUUUAAAUAAUUACAAUAUUUACCUUUUAAUAAAGUAUAAUAUUAAUAAUCAUUUAAAUAAUUAUGUGUAGCUAAUUUUAAGGGAUUUGAUUUAAAGCUUGUUGUUUGGAUUAAAUUUGAAUGAAUAAUGUGAUUGAUAUAUUAAAUCAAGAAUUAAAAAUCAAAUCAAAUAAUUAAGGAAAAAAGAAUUAAUGCCAAUGGCAUGCCAUUGUAAAUAAGUGUCAAGUAGAGGAUUUAUUUGCUAAAAUAUAAUUUUAGUUUUUUAAAAAUUAACUGAAAAUAUAUUAUAUUAAUUUGUAUUUUUAAAUAUAGAUAUCAAUCUCUGUAUUAUUUAGUAUAUGAUUACUAUUAUUUAGGUUUCAAUUUUUGAAGUAUAGAUACGAAAAUACAUAUUUUUUUAAGUAACGAUGUAUGGUGAAUUUUAAAUUUUUAAUAUUUUAUCCAUAAUAUACCGUGGGUCGAUUUUUUAUAGCUAAAUUUUUAAAUUUCAAGUUAUAAUCGUUUUGUUAAUAUUGUAUGAUUUUUUGUGUUUAAGGUUGUAUAAUUGUAUUUUAAUUGUAAAUUUUAAGAUUUCAUCAAUGAUAUACCUUUCUUUAUUAAUAUCGAUCAAAACCCGUCAUCCAAUAUAAACCCGUCUAUAUUAUCUCGUUAGCUAAAUAUUAGUAUUAUAAAAUCCAAGAAAAUAAAUUAUUAUUGUUAGAAAUACAAUAAUUUUAGGAUCUCACCCGUGUUAUACUGUUUUUGAAUGAUUUUAAAUUUCUACUACUAAUAUAGAUUUUAAAUUUGUCAUAUAAAGUAUAUGAUUUUAACUUUUUGUAUUUUUUUAUUUAAAUAAAGCAACGGCUUAAAUGAUGAUAGAUAUAGUUCUUUUUUUGUAUGUGUAUAUGAUUUUUAUGUGAAUAUUUUCAUUAUUAUAAAUUAGUAUUUUUAUUGUUAUGCAAAAUGUUAAUAUAAAUAUUUUCUAUAAAUCGGAUUUAUGCAUAUUUUAUGGAGUAAAAUUCACAGAAUUUUGUUUUUGAAGAUAUAUGGAAAGAUUGUGUAGAGAUUUUUAGAAAUAAAUUAGGCAAGAUAUCGUUUGGUUAAUAUCUUUUAAAAUUUUGUAAAACUAAAUAAUAAAUGCUAGUGACAGCCGUUGUAAAUAAGUCUGAACUCCAGGAUUUAUUUCACAAAAUGGUUGCAAAAAUGUAUAUGUAGAUUAGAUGAGGAUAAUUUGUUCAUUUUGUUCAAAAAAAAAAGGGAGAUUUGCAAAACUACCAUUUUUUACUACCCUUUUGCAACAAUACCCUUUUAUAUUGUUCAUUUUUAAAAAUAUCCCUUCUCUUGAACAGAAUGACCAAAUUACCCUCAUCUAAUAAGAACAUGUAAUUGGAAACUGAAAAUUUCCCGCCAAUAUUUAUUUUUCCCGCCAAAAAAAAAUUUCCGCCAAACUUUAUUUCCCGCCAAAAUUUUUUCUCGUAAAAUUUUUUUCCCAGCCAAAAUAAUGCUUUUAAAAAUCCUUAUAAAUUUUCUUAAAACUCUUUUAAAAAACCUUGUAAAGUUUUUUAAAAGCUUUGGUAGUUGCUAAAAACCCUUGUAAAUCAUUUUAAAACCUCUUAAAAUCUUUAUAAAGUCUUUAAAAACAUAGGUAAAUACUUUAAAACACCUUUUUAAACCUUUGUAAAUCAUUUCAAAAUUUCCACAAUAGUUUUACAAGAUUUACAAUCAUUUUUUAGCAUAAGUAAGUGGCAUUGAAUGAUUUACAAGGGAUUUUAAAAGCUUAUAAAAGGGUAAAACAUGAUUUACAAUCGUUUUUAAAGCAUAAGUAAGUGGCAUAUAAUGAUUUACAAGGAUUUUUAAAAAGGGUUAGCAUGGUUUACAAUAUUUUUUUAAGCAUAAGUAAGUGGCAUUGGAAUUAUUUACAAGGGAUUUUAAAAGCUUAUAAAAGGGUAAAACAUGAUUUACAAUCGUUUUUAAAGCAUAACUAAGUGGCAUAGAAUGAUUUACAAGGAAUUUUAAAAGUGUUUGUAUGGUUUACAAUCGUUUUAAAGCAUAAGUAAAUGGCAUUGAUUGAUUUACAAGAGAUUUUAAAAGGGGUUAACAUGAUUUACAAUCGUUUUAAAGCAUAAAUAAGUGUCAAAGAAUGAUUUACAAGGGAUUUUAAAAAAGGUUUGCAUGGUUUACAAUCGUUUUUAAAGGAUAAGUAAGUGUUAUAGAAUGAUUUACAAGGAUUUUAAAAGCUUAUAAAAGGGUAAAACAUAAUUUACAAGAGUUUUUUUAAAGAGUUUUAAAAGGAUUUACAAGGAUUUUAAACCUUUGUAAAUCCUUUUAAAACUCUUAUAAAGUCUUUACAAGUAUUUUUUAACUCUUAGAAAAAGAAUUGUAAGUAUUUAAAACAUUUACAACUCUUUUAAACCAUUUUAAAACUCUUGUGAAUCUUUACAAAAGGUUUUAAAAAGACUAGAUGAAUUCCUACGCUAUGCGAGGGUUUGUUUUGAAAAUUGUUUAGAUAAAAAUAUGUUAAUUAUUUUUGUUGCUAAUUUCUGUUUAUUUUUUGUUUGUUAUUUUAUAAUUAGUAAAAUUAGACUCAUCUUAUGUACUUGCAUUUUUUAUUGUUAGGUUCAUUUUUGACUCUAAAAUAUCAAUUUCUAUAUGUUUUCAUGUAUAAUCUGAUUAUUUUUAUAACCAAGAUUCUAAAAUUUGUUUAUUAUCAUGAAUAUACACAACAAGAAUAAAAGAUGUUUUUAUUUCAAGAGUUUUCAUAUGAAAAAAAAGAAGCAAAAAUUAAAGAGUUAUUUUAGUAACACUUUUUAGAUUUAUGCUAUUGCAUAUAGCCAUAUAAGACAAAUGGAUUUGUUUUGAAUUUCGUGGUAUGUCUAACGUCUCAAAAAUCUAUUACUUGAAAAUGUUUAAUGUCAAUGUUACGAACUUACCAUAAGAUACAAAAAUAAAAAGACAGAAUUUCAUAUGAUAAGAUAUGAACCAUAACGUAAUAAUAAUAAAAAAAUCAAGGUAAAAUAAUUAAACUAAUAUUAGGUAGCAAACAACUAAAGUACAACACAAAUAACUAUUUAGUCAUUAUAGAGUGAUGACCAUUGACCAUUAAGUUUUUUUAAAAAUAUGAAAUAAUAAAGUAAAAUAAAAGUAGUAAUUGAUUUAUUUAAAUAAAUAAUUUUAUAAAUUUUUUAUUUUGAAUAAAAUUAUUUAAGAAAUGAACUAAUGGAGGAUUUAACACAAUAUGAGACUUUUGAUUUUCUCUCAAUUAAUUUUGCUGAUUUUUAAUUUAAUCAAUGUUAAUUGACACAUGUCAUUUUCUUGUGUGAUGAUGUGUCACCCAUAUGGAGAAAGUUGGCCAACUUUCAUAUAUAUGAUUUACAAGAGUUUUUAAACGGUUUCUUAUAAUUUCUUUUAAAAUCUUUUAAAAACUCUUGUACAUCUUUUAAAACCCUUUAAAAAUCCCUUGUAAAUCUUUUAAAACACUUUUAAAUCCUUUAAAAAUCUUUAAAAAACUCUUGUAAGUCUUUUAAAGCCCUUUAAAAUCCCUUGUAAAUCUUUUAAAACCCUUUUAAAAUCCCUUGUAAAUCUUUUAAACCCUUUUAAAAUCUUUUGUAAAUCUUUUAAAACCCUUUUAAAAUCCCUUGUAAAUAUAUUUCCCGCCAAAAAACAAUUGUUUACGGGAAAAAUGUUUUCGAAAUUUUUUUUUGGCGGGAAAAUUUUGGCGGGAAAUUUUAUUUUGGAAUAUUUUAGGCAAAAAAUAUUAAUAUUUCAUUUUGUUAACCUAAAUCAAUUUACAAAUAGGAAUAAAAGGGUCAUUAAAAAUUUAAAUAGGGUAUAAAUGAAAAUGGUAAAUAGAAAAGGGUAGAAUUGAAAAGGGGUAGUGUGAAAAGGGCAUUAGAAAGAAUUUUUCAUUUUUAAUUAUACUUUCUUCUAAUUUUUAGUGAUCAUUUUAACCCUAUUUGAAAAUGUUUUAGGUUAACAAAAUGAAAUAUUGAUUUUUUCCACCAAAACGGCUUUUUGCCUAAAGAAACUUUCACGCCAAAAAAUUUCCCGCCAAAUUGGUUUUUUCAAAAACAAUUUUCCCCAUAUAACAAAAAAAAUGGCGGAAAAUAUAUUUUUAAAACCUUUGUAAUUCUUUUUAAAACUCUUGUAAAACUUUUUGAAACCUUUUGUAAGGGUUCACAAGAGUUUUAAAAUAUUUCAAAUUUUUUUACAAAUGUUUUAAAAUAUUAAAACAAAACUUUUUAAGAGUUGAAAAAUGAUUUAAUAAUAAGAAUUUUAAAAGGCCUUACAAAAGUUUCUAAAAUCCUUGUAAAUCGGUUUAAAACUAUUUGAAAACUUUUGUAAAUAAUUUUAAAACCUUUUACAAUGGUUUUAAAAGAAUUAUAAGUAUCUUUAAAUAUUUAUUAAGGUUUUGAAGUAUUUACAUGUGUAUUUAAAGACUUUAUAAAGAUUUUAAAAGAUUUCAAAAUGAUUUACAAGUGUUUUUAAGAACCGUACAAAGCUUUUAAAAAACUUUACAAGGAAUUUUAAGAGUUUUUAAAGGAUGUACAAGAGUUUUCAAAAAAUAUUUUGCGGGAAAAAAACAAUUUGGUGGGAAAACUAAAUUUUGGAGCCAAAACUUUAUUUGGCGAGUAAACUAAAUUUUGGCGGACAAAUUUCAGUUUCUUAUUAAAUAUUCUAAUUAAAUGGAGGGUAAUUUGGUUAUUUUGUUCAUGAAAAAGGAUAUUUUAAAAAAUAGACAAUGGUAAAGGGUAUUUUUGCAAAAGAGCAUUGGAAAAGAGUAUUUUUACAAAUCUUCCAAAUACAUUUGGGUAUAUUUGGUACCUACCUAUUUAUUAAAUUUUAUUCAUUAAAGCUUUGAUGGAUUUUGAAACCUCUUACAUUGGAUAGUUCCAUAUUUAACAAUAUAGACUAGGUCAGUACUCGUGUUUCGCAAGGGGUUCAUGAUUUAAUUAGUUUAUAAAUUUUGUUUCUGUAUAUAUUACUAAUAUAGUUUUAUUUUUAUUCAAAAUAGAUUUUUAGAUUAUCAAUUCCCAAAACACUAUCCUGUCGUUGUAGUAUUUUAGGUUGUCAAUCCAAUCUGCUGGUGUGAUGCAAACAGAUAAGAUAUUAUUAGAAUGCACUAAGUCAAACCAAGCAGAGAGUUUUUGGUUUCUAACAGUCCUCAUAUGAAAUAAAAGAACUGAAAUAAAACUGAAAUGCAAAAUGGCAGUAACAUGCAAAUGAAUGACAAAGCAGAUAAGAUAACAGGCAAUCAAAUGGAUAAGAGAUUCCUAAGGAUGGAGUAAUCGAAUAGCGUGGUCUCCUUAAUCUAUUUAGACGGUUGACAAAACUUCACAGAAGAUAUCUCUAGAAAACAAGUUCAAUGAAAGAUUAAUUCACUACCGUGUAAGAAAUCCUAAAGUGACGUUAUCUCCAUUAGCGAUCUCUAACUAAGCAGACAAUAUCGAAUCAACUUGUUAAAGCCAAUACCCGUUCUAAACGGCCAAUACCUUGGGAUAGAGACGAAUAUCACUGGAAUUAAUAGAUCCGACAUUCCAUCGAACGCCUUCUGAGCGCGGGAAUGUCUGGAUUCAUAUUCCAGUUGAUCAUAAAGGAACAAGCAAUAAGCGCAACUAAUCUAGAAGGGAUUCCAAUAUUCUAAACUCAACCAUCUAGACGACUAAGGUUACCACAACUACUCUAUCCCAUCCUCAGAAAUACAAUUCACUACUCAGACAUAAGCAAAGACAAUAUCAUAGAAACGAAUGAAAACAUGAUAAGGGAUCGAGAAAUGACAAAAGAUAAACGAAAUGAUACUAAGACUGAAAUAUUUAAUACUUGAAAGUGAAUACAAAAUCGCAGGAGAGCGUUGCGGCUACAAAAGUUUUAGAAAAAAGGAUCAUGCCCUAGGGAAAACCCCUAGAGGCUAUUUAUAAAAGCAAGACAAGUUAAGUAAGGAAAGUCUUUGAUAGUAGUCUUCACAUCGGGAGAUUGCGAUUGGGCAUAUGAUGGGCUGAAAUGGGACUCACUGCGAUGGAGUAUGUCAUGGAUCAAACUUGGCUUCAGGGACUCCACCUUGCAAUCGUGUGGUCUGGAGUGAAGACGAGAUAAAAUUGUCCAGCGACCCUGCGAUCGAGUAGAUGUCAUGAGGUGGUGAUCGAGUGGUUUCUUCAGCUUCUCUUCUCUUCCGUAUGCUCAGUGUUGGUGUCGGAUCCCGCACCAAAAGUCCGAAGUCGUCUCAGCCUGUAAUAAGCCCAAUCGCUGACUUAAUAAUGAUUUUACAAAUAUUUUUAAAAGGGGUUUAAAACGUUAAUAAUGAUUUUACAAGGAUUUUUAAAAGGAUUAGUACCUGAGCAGUAGGAAAAGAAUGAGAAACAAAAGGAUUUGAAGUCGUCUCAACCUAUAAUUAACACAAUCACUGACUUACUAAAUCUAUAUAUAAACCAUUUUUAAAAUUAUAACACAAGAAAGUUAUUGAAAAACCUACUCCACUGUCACAGAAAUUUGCUCUACUCUGUGAGAAUUUGUGCAUAAAAGUUGCAAGUUGUCUAUCGUUUCUAAUAUAAAGAGGAUGAGAUUGUAUUGUUCUAGAAGUGGAGACUUGCUUAUAACUAAGCUUCAAAGAAUUGGUUGAACUAUCUAUUCGAAAAUUCUCUACAAGAAUAUCAACCAAUGCGUGAUAGGUAAUGUGCUCAUCAAUGAGCACUAAAGAAGCUCCCAUUUCAAUGUCUAAUUCAAAUUCCCAAGUCAUAUUGUUUGUCAACUUCCACAAACCACAAACAGAAUACUAUUCUAUCAUUAUAACCUGAUAAGAUAAAUAACAACAAAAUCAAUACCCACAAACAUUGUCACUACAGAGAGAAGCAUGGUUUACAAUUAUUUUUAAAGCAUAAGUAAGUGGCAUAUAAUGAUUUACAAGGAAUUUUAAAAGCUUUGAAAAUGGGUUAACAUGAUUUACAAUCAUUUUUAAAGCAUAAGUAAGUGGCAUAGAAUGAUUUACAAGGAAUUUUAAAAGCUUUGAAAAGGGGUUAACAUGGUUUACAAUCGUUUUUAAAGCAUAAGUAAGUGGCAUAUAAUGAUUUACAAGGAAUUUUAAAAGCUUUGAAAAGUGGUUAACAUGGUUUACAAUCGUUUUAAAGCAUAAGUAAAUGGCAUAGACCUAUCACGAAAGCGUAAGUAAAGGGGUAAACACUAAAUCAAAACCAAAAUUUAUCACGGAACAAUAUAACGAAUUCAAAUCUAUCACAAAACAGUAUAACGAAUUCAAAAGGAAUUAACGAAUUCACAUAAUCAACCCCAAAAUCGAAAGCAAAAUAGUAGAAUUUACAAGGAUUUUAAAAACAAUUCAAUCAUUAAAUCUCAAACAAAAUUCAAAUUCGAAGCAUCAACAAAUGUCAAAUUGUCGAUUGAAUCAAUAUCACGAAUCACAUAAGCAACAACAAAAUCGAAAACGAGACAUUUAGGCUAAAAUUACAAAUUCGAAAUCGAUUCCAUGAGAGAAAAACAAACAUGGGGAAAACAAGAGAUUGAAAUGAAGACUGAGACGGUGAAAUCGAUAACACGAAUCCGACAAUCUCCGACGGCCACGACGCAAUGCGACAGCGACAAUUAAAACAAUCUCCGACGGCGAUGACAGACGAAGAAUACAUAUGACAUCAAUUGAAAUUAGAUCGAUUAGUCUCUGUAGUUCACUAAGGGUAUUUUGGGGAUAAAAUAAUUAGGUGGGGUAGAAAUAAAAAUGGCUAAAAAAUGGGUAAAGUUUAAAAGGAGCAUCAUGAAAAGGGCAUUAGAAAGAAUUUUACAUAAUUAUAUAAUAAAAUAUGUUUUCCUUAUAAAAAUGGUUUCUAUCACUAACUCUUUAACCAUCAACAACCUACUAUUUUAUUAAAUGACAUUGUUUUUUCCUUAGAUUCUUAUUGGAUAUCUCUUCUAAGUCGUUAAUAUUCAUUUUCUUUAUUUUUGAAUUAGUAUUUAUUUUGCAUUUUUCUCUAAACUACAAUAUGUUGUUGUAUGUUUGUCUUUGUUUGAGGUUAGUAUAUUUUUUACUCAUCGCUAUUUGCCAAUUUUCAUAAUUAUUUUGAAUCAAUGGUGGAGUAUUUAUUAAGAUAUUAGUUUGUUUAGUGACAAAGUAUGAGAUAAUAUAUUUUUUUACAAAUGUGAGUACUUACAAUUUGUUUUCUUAUAGGAUUAACAACUGAUUGUAUAAUUUUUUUAAUCCUUUUUCUAUUUUUCAUAUUUUUCUUGUUUAGUUAGUAACUUAUAAUUAAAACAUUUAGAUUAAUUUUCUAAAUUCUAUAGUUUUAGAAAAUAAACAUAUAAUUUUAUUAUAUAUAAGUAUAGUUUCCUUAUAAUAAUCUUUUUAUAUUCUUCAAACUGUUUAAAUUGUAUAAUUUUGUUGUAAUUAUUUUUUUAUAAUUUUUUAAUUGUUAAAUACAAAACUUUUGUUUGCGACAUAACAAAAAUCUCCUAUGAAAAUAUAGGUAUUAAAAUUGCAUUGAUAGAUUUGAAAUUUCGUGUUUUUUUUAGUUGAAAUUUAUCCUCUUAAUUAUAUGAUUUUAAUUUUUACUUAUUUUGAAAAUCUGUACUUUUCAUUUUUUAUGCAUAUAUCAAAAUAGAGAAGCAUUUCCAUAUGUACAUGUGUGAAAUCUCAUUAAUAAAUGGACAUAACUUUAUACUUUUAUUUUUUAUAAUAUUUUUUAUUUUUUAUAAUGCAUAGUUUCAUUAUAAUUAUCCUCUAUCUUUUAUAAUAUUGUUCUAAAAAAUUUAUUUUUUAUACAUGUCAAAAUCUAAGAUCUCUAAAAUUGACCCGUGUUAUAAUCUCCUGAGUUACUAUCAAAACCGUACUUUGUAUAAUAAGAUCCCUUUAGGUAGACAAAUAUUUGUACUUUUUUAUGUUAGUAUCCAACAUUAUAUUUUGUUGCCUAAACUGAACAUUAUUAAAUUGUUAAUUAUAAGAUUUCACCUAUAGUAUACCUUCCCGUAUUAAUAUCGAUCCAAACUCGUCCCACCAUAUAACUAUACAACACUGGUUAUUUAGAAUUUCGAUUGCCCUUUAAGGAUAACAAAAGAAAGAAACAACAAAUGUUGUUUUCAAAUAGAUAUUCCAAAACCUUGUCUAGAUUAAUUAAAAUGGUAUGAAUUUUUUAUUUAUUUAAUUACUUUUACAUAUUAAUUAUUCUACACAAUUUAUGAAAUACUAAUUGUUUUUUCUUUAGUAUGUGCAGGUUGACCCAUUAACGAUCCGAUCCAACGCUUCUUCACCUGAAAAUUUGCUUGGAUUCUCUUCGUUUAAAAACAAUACCAAAUAAACAAACUUUUGCCUGAUGAAAUCAAUGACCGAUCUUGGAUGCAAGUUUAAAGAGUCUUUCCUCAUCGUUCGUUCAGUUUCUUAAUCGCUUCUUUGUAUUUUCAAAUUCGAUUGAUAUUCUGUAAAUUCCCUCAUUUUGGUCAAUUGCUUUAAUGUAACUUCAAAUUUGAGUUUUUUCAUUCUCUUCAAACUCUGUUUUUAAUGGAUUUGAUAUGGUGAAGGAGAAUACACUAAACAUGGAUGGGAAGAAGAAGGAGAAGCCAGCAGCUCAGUUUCACUCAAUCGCAUAGCCGGAGGAAUCACCCACUCUAUAUCGUUCACGUGGCAAUCUUUGGUUGGUCCCGGACUUUCGGUGCGGGAUUCGACACCAACAAUUAGCCCUCCAAGUCUUUCGAAGUGUUAUCCUAAUUCGGAAGACUUUAAUGCUUUAAUGUACAAAGAUUGCGCUAGAUGAUUGUAUGAUUUCCCACCAAAAUCUUGUUACUCCCUUGAUUCCGGCACUGUCCAUAUUUACCCGUAUGACAUCUGUCACCAUUAUGACCACAUCUUAAUUAUUUACCAUUAAAGCGGGAAAAUCCUUCACCUUCCCCCACGACUCCCAAGGCGGUUCCAUCAUCAUCACCAGCUUGCGUGAGGUAAAUUUAUUUUAUAUCUUUCUUUUUUUUUACGCUUUUCUCUCUUAGAACAAAGAUCCUCUCUGUUUUACUCUACCAAUUUUUUCUUCGAACACCGGAUUUUUUUAUUCUCUACGAUGAAUCCUGAUACUGAAAGACCCGAAUCCCCAUCUUUCAACGAGUGUGGUUAUAGCAAUGAUAUAUGCACUCGCCCGAACGACAUCGCCGGUCCACACUAUAUGUCUACUUGUACCCUUCAAUGCCUUGAGCGACUGAAGGAGCUUUGCCGGAUUCCGCCGGAGAUUAUGACGGAAUCAAAGAUGCAUGGUCCCAUGGAGUCCCCGGAGGACCAUCGCUCCGGUUAUUUUUGCGUUUACGAGAUCUAUUUCAAGGGCUGCGGGUUGACCUUUCCUUUUCCUGAAGCCUUGGUCUGUUACUUGGAAACUCUUGGAAUUGCCCUGUCCCAACUAACCCCCAACCUUCUCUGAACUAUCUUGGGGAACAUAACUGUUACGGCGGAAGCCGGAUACGUUAUCGAGGUUCCUGAACUAAACAAGCUUCUUAGCGUGAGAAGUUCAUCGAAGAAAACUGGGUACUUUUCGGCGUACCCGAAUGCCAACAGGAACCUCAUCUCGCACCUCCCGAACAAGGAUGAGAACUGGCAUCAACCUUGGUUUUUGAUUAAGAAAACCCUUGCUUCAAUCGGAAAUCUUUCCGAUGUGCUUCCAUCGAAGUGGUCUACGAAACCCGGUAGAAAUUAGGUCGCAUAUACCUUCUCUGUUUACCUUUACUGUUUAUUGACCAAAUCUGUUGUUUCACUUCGCAGCUUUCAUCGCUCGGACUCUCUCGACCGAGGAAUUCAUCGAACUCUUCAAAAUCGUCUUCGAAGGGGAAACCCUCUGGAAUUCCUUCACCCGUGACCGGUUUAUAGAGGCCAAUCACAAACUCAGAAUGAGCCCUCCCGGACAGCUUCAUCAACUUCCGCCACCUCCUUCCCUAUCUCAAGGAACAUUAGCCCGUGAUCUUGCUUCUCGGUGGAAGGUGAUAUCAAAGCCGAUGGCUGAGGCUUGCGAGGUAAACAAGACGUUCCUUGCUAGUUGACAAUGGUAGCGCCGAAGGGGCCAGAUCGGCCGAUGCGUUUAGGUCAACACUCCGUCCUGAACGCCAUGGUGGUCGUUCUCCUCGGAGAAAAAGAUAUCCCCGUCGUGACUCUCCUCGCUCUUCUCCCCGAGGUGGACUGAGCAGCGAACCCAUUGGUAAUUUAGUUUGCAAAAAGAGAGACAGACCGGCUCGUGGCAGCUCUUCUCCCCGAAGGGACAAAUCAAAGGCCCGGACUUUUGACAGAUAGCGUCCCGGAAUUUGAGAACGCUUCUUACUCCAUGCUUACUAUUCAUCGCGGGGUAGUUUCAUUUCCCUUUUUCUAAUCUUGCUAUUCCUUUACGUACUAACUUACUUUCUCGGGCUUAUACUCAGUGCCAGGCAAACAGCAAACUUAACGACAUGGUUGAGCACUAUGAAGGAUUGCUGCUUAGUAGGGAGCAAGACAUCGACACUUGGAAGGGCAAGUUUUCUUCCCUCGAGGCUGACCUCCGUCCCUCUCCGGUUCCAAGCAAAAAUUGGAGGACCAAGUCGACCAUCUCUCUUCUGAACUCAUGGAAUCAAACGGCGAGUUGCAAGAUCAGUACCGUAGACAUGACAAACUCCAAGAUGAACUCUCAGUUGCCCAAGAUAGGCUUUCUGAAUCUGAAUCGGUUGCUUACACCUUGAACAACCAGUUCACCGAACUUAAGGCAAAGUACAAGGCAAUCGCCAAGCUUCGAGAUGCUGAGUUAGCUAAGUCGGCGUUAAAAGCCAGAAAAGAAGUGAAAGGUCGCAGGAUAGAGCUGAUUCAGGGGGCCAUUCUUUUCAUUCAAACCGAAAAGGCAAGAUCAGAGCUGGAAUCUAAUAUUAAGGAGCACGAAAGCAACCUACUCUUGUUGGACCAGGUCCACGAGGAGGAUUUCAGCGAGGAGUAAGAGAGGUCCGAUUUGACAGCCGUUUUAUCCGAGAAACAUAGCCGCCUUCUUGCUCUCCCCGCUUCAUCCUUCAACCCUCAGCACUUCAAAGAGUUCUUCAUCGAAUCACCCCCUUUGGGUGAAUCGGGUUUAGAUUGGGCUGGUAAACUUUCAUACUUAAAGUUUUAUCACUUACAGUUUUUUUAUAUAUACUCUUUACUGAUUUGAACUGUUCUCCUCAGGUUCAAGUGAAUCGGAUGAUACUGCUGCACCUAAGGUGCCUGCCAUACUGGUAGAGAUUGUUGAACCUGACCCUAUUUUGCCCAAAGCUCCUCCGUUGUGAACAGCGAGACGGAGAUCAUCCCGGAUGAUGAGUGUGAUGCUAGGCACGAGCCGGGAACCUCUUUCGAGACACUCCCUGGCGUUGAACCGAAUGAAACCGAGACGACUGAUGUCGAGCCCGAGAUAGCUACGGAUUAAUAGUGGUUGCGUCCACUUGAAAUUGGAGGUUGUCCCAAAUAUUUAAGAACUUGAAAUUAAUUAUUGGAUAAGUAUUUACCUAAGGAGGCUUUUAAACUUUUUUUAAACUAUGAUCCCAAGAGGGUUUGACUAAAGUAGAAUGCGGGUUUGCAAAGUCCGCCUUUAAAUAUUUUGACCAUGUGGUUAAGUUUCGAGAUUCUAAGGUUGAUCAGACCUUUCUAAUAGAACGCGAGAAAUGAGCUCAUCUUAACGCGAAUUUCCCAUCUCGGGUUGAGUUAAUUCAUUACAUUUAUUGGGCUUGGGCCUUAACUGUUAUACCUUGUAUUUAAUGGGCUCUUUGUCUUAAAUGCGACGGUUGCCAUUUCCCAUCCUAUUUCUCGAGAAACCGGAAAAAACCUCACGCCUUUGAGGCAAUAAUUGCCUUUUAUCGAUUUCCAAAUAUGGCUUAAACCAUUCGGACACGCCAUCAUUAUUGAAUUUUUGGUUUCAAGACAAGAUCUAAACCUCUAUAAAUAAAAGUUUAUCUAUCACCGAAUUUCCCCCAAGUAUGAUUUUAGAAAUUUACUUGAUAAACACCACGAGAAUGGAAAACGAAGGAGCCUCCACUGUCUGUCCUCUCGACCCUGGCAGUCCAUUGUUUCUGUCCGGCGAUGAUUUCGAACCUGCCGGCGUUCUCUUUCCACACACCGCUUUCCACUUUCCUCCGAAAGAUAAAAAGGAGGCGUACGACUAUAUGGACAAGGUCGGGAUUCAUUCUUCUUCCCUCUAUUACGAUUCUUCAUCUUUUUUUUAUAUAUUUACCGGUUUCCAUGUUAGGUUGUCGACAAACAUCGCCGCUUGUGCGAUGAGAGGCAACGUCUGGGCCUCAAAAGGCAAACGCUCGAGGCCCGAAUCGCUCGAGUGGAGAGGAAGGUGAGGGAAAUGGAGAGUGAUCCCUUUCAAUGGGAGUUGAGGAACUUCGACUGCGUUGCCAAGAUCCCGACUAUGCUUUGGAUGUACCUCCGCGCUCGUGGUCAAGUUCUCGGUCUCGUGAAUGCUCAUGUUGAGGUGGUCCCAUCCGAUAGCGAGGAGGACGACGAAGAAGAGGACAUCGACCCCUCGAAUUGUGUCAAGAAUGAACCCAAGGUAGACGACAAAAAUGAAGCGUCCACUUCGAAUGCUGAAUCGGCGAUGAAGGAGCAUGUUCCUAAACCUCUUCCAUAAAUGUCCCCGAACUUGCUACUUACUUUUUUUUAUUUUUUUUUUAACUCGUUAUGGGCUCCGGCUCAUUUUUAAUUUAUGGAAACUUUUUUAUUUCCUUGAUCUCAAAAUACUCGUUUUGGAGAUAUGUUUUAAAUGCAGGGCCAACUGGAAGGCGUAGGUCUUUCCGCGAAUCACUCCGGCCUCAAAUAGAAUUGCAAUCUUCAAAGGUGCCAAGUCCCUAUAAAUUGCGACUCCAAGUUUUCUUUAUUUUUUAUUACAACUUUCUUUUCCUUUUGCAGCUAUGGAGUUUAACCUUCGAUGUUCGGAGUCCAUGCCAGACUUUUCUAGGGUCGGAAUGAUGGAUGAGGACAUCCCAAACGUGCGGGGAAGAGGGCCUUCUCAACCUCGUGGCUUCUUAAGGUCCCAAAUCCGAGCUCCAUGUGCAUUGAUGAAGGGACUUUCUGACAUAGACCAAGAAAUCACGAUGGCAUUCAUCAAGGCUCUUGCGGUUCAGCACCAGAAGCGUUCGUUGGAAAGGAGGAAAAUCCGAAAAAAGAUUAACCGAAUAUUACGUAGGGUUAUUGCGAUAUCGAGGGAACUUCACACCCUCAACUCUCACCCCGGGGACUGGAUUGAGCUUGGAAUUUCCGAAUUUGAUCGCAUACCGGAUUGUAUGAUGCCGAUUCUUGAACUCGCUGGUCAAGGAGUCCAACUGUUCUACAAGUCGAGAAGAGUUUCUUAAUUUGAAGUGCUAGCGUGACGAAACUUCGUCUUCUUUGCUUACUGCUUGAAUACUUUCGUUUUGUUUCCUGUAUUUGCAUGUUCGCGUAGUCGAACUUUUCUUGCUUUGUUCGUUCGCACAGUCUGAACUCGUUCCCAAGCUGCGUACGUACCUAUUUCAAGAUCAAGCGACACCGUAGUUCAUGUACAUAACAAAAAACGCGUGUUUACUUAAACAUAAAACUUCUUUAAAAUGACCACAUUCCAAAGACCCUAGACAGGCAUGUCUUCUUAAUCUUUUAACCUAUAAACACCAUUCUGAUCCACUUCGGUAAUAAUAUAAGGUCCUUCCCAAUUAAUAUCGAGCUUGCUUGCUCAUUCUUCCUUUUUAUUGUUGAAAACGCGCUUUAGAACGUAAUCACGUACAAAGAAAGGUCUGAUUUUGAUUUUGGAAUUGUAAUAUCGAGCUGCUGCCUGCUGGUAAUUCUGAAUCCGGAUCAAAGCUUGGUCUCGCCUUUCGUUGAUAGUAUCUAACGAAUCAUCGAGCAUUGCUGAGUUUUCUUCUUCGGUUAGGGGAGCCUCUGUUCAGCAAAGUCCAUACACGUUGAGCUCGGCCGGGACCACUGUUUCCAUCCCAUAAACUAAAAAAAACGGAUUUUCCCCAGUAGACCGCCUAGGAGUUGUGCGGUAAGCCCAUAAAACCUGUUGAAGCUCGUCGUACCAACCUCCCUUCAAAUGAUUCAGGCACUUUUUUAGAUUGGUUAGGAUUGUCUUAUUUGCGGCUUCGGCUUGACCAUUUCCUUGUGGAUAACGUGGAGUGGAGUAACUGACUUUGAUUCCCCAAUCUGUACAGAAAGUUUCGAAUUCGUGCGAAAUGAAUUGUGGUCCGUUGUCUGUGACUAUCUCGUAUGGGACACCAUGCCGACAUCUGGUAUUUUUCCAAAUGAAAGUUUUUACUGCCAAAUCUUACGUAUGCUUCAGCCUCAAUCCAUUUUGAAAAAUAAUCAGUUAAGACAAAAGAUAUUGUACGCCUCGAGUUGAUCUGUGCAAUGGUCCAAUGAUAUCCAUCGACCACCUCAUAAACGGGUAUUGGGCAGAGAUAGAAAAGAAUAACUCCAAAGAUUGAUGGAUUAGAGGUGCAUGAAGUUGGCAACGCUUACACAGCUGGGCGUACUUAACACAAUCUGUUAUCAUAGUGGGCCAAUAAUAUCCCAUUCUUUUAAUUUUGAAAGCCAUUGCCCUUCAUGAUGAAUGACUACCACACAGACCUUCAUGCACUUCGCUCAUGACAAUUUUGACUUCGAGCCCAAAGAUGCAUAGUAGGUAAGGGUCGCUGACACCUCGCUUAUAUAAUGCGUCCUUUGACAAACAAAAUUUUGCGCUAACGAUUCUCAUUUUCCUGGCCUGCCACUUAUUUUUUGGGAGCUUGCCUGUCACAAUGUAAUGUUUUAUUGUCUCCCUCCAAUCAGUCUCCCAAUCUUUAGCCUGAAUUUGGUCAACCUCGUGAAAUAUUCUUGGUUCCGGUUUGGGAUGCUCGUUUAGCUCAAGUAUAUCCUCCUCGAUAAGUGGCUCGGUCUCUAUAACCGUUUCUGGAACUGCGUCUUCUGUCAGGUCAAUAGGCUCCUCGCUACUAUUUUCUUUAGAUGUGCCAGACUCAAAUAUGGUUGAACCUUUUGACUUCCUCCACUUUAUGGAAGUAAUUCUAUUCUCAGGCUCACCAAGCUCACGCGCCGCAGCUCGAGACCUUGUAAUGACGAGGGUCCUUUUUUCCUCCUUAAUGUUCUAUUCUGAAAUGCAUUCUACUGGAGUGACUCUUUUUACCAAAGGAUCUGACGUUGACGCCAGCGUGGCAAGUGCGUCCGCGGUUGUAUUUUCUCCUCGAGGUAUGCGAAUGAGUUCAAAUUUGAGAUAUGCUUCCAUUCUUGAAUCUUUGGUUUUGUAAUAUCCAUUGAACUGGUUAACAACCAGUUGUGAAUCACAAUAAGCGAUCAAUUCUUUAGCUCCAACUCCUUGUGCCAACCUAAGUCCAGCGAUUAGAGCUUCAUAUUCUGCCUCAUUGUUAGAAGCAUUGAAUAGCAAACAGAAUGAUUGCUCAAGAAUUUCCGAUGUGGGAGAUUCCAACUUGAUUCCCACUCCUGUUUUGAUGAACAUCUAUCUACAUGCAACUUCCAAGUUUCAUUUUGUGGUUGCUCCGGCGCGCCAAGUACUGGUAGUUUGGUCAGGAUAUCUGCCAAAACUUGGGCCUUCAUGCUGACUCGGCUUUUGUACUCUAUAUCAUACUCACUUAGCUCCACUACCCACUUCGCCAAUCUUCCGGACUGACUUGGACUAUGAAGAAUUGUUCGAAGUGAAUGAUUGGUUAAUACUUCGAUCGGAUGAGAUUGGAAAUAUGGACGCAACUUUCGGGCAGAAGUUACAACCGCAAGUGCGAGUUUUUCCAUCAUUGUAUAUCUAGUUUCUGGAUUUGUCAUGGACUUACUUACGUAGUAAAUCGGCUUCUGUUCUCCGCGAUCCUCCCGUAUCAAGACUCCACUAACUGCAAGGUUCAACACUGAAACGUACAAAUAGAGCUUUUCAUCCACUUCGCGCUUGGACAGUACGGGUAGAGUUGUUAGGUAUGCCUUAAGCUGUCCAAAUGCCUCUUCACAUUUCUCAUCCCAAAGGAAUCCUUUGUUUCCUUUUAGAAUUUGAUAAAAGGGUAUAGAUUUAUCUGUUGAUAUUGAAAUAAAACGGUUUAGAGCUGCAAUCCGACCCGUUAACCGUUGCACUUCUUUGAAAUUUUUUGGAGACGGCAUGUUGAGAAAAACAUUGAUUUGGUUCGUAUUGGCUUCAAUUCCCCUUUUUGUCACAAUAUAACCAAGGAAUUCCCAGGAUGGAACUCCGAACGUGCAUUUUGUCGGGUUCAGCUUCAUUUGGUAUUGAUUGAGAAUUUCAAAACAUUCUUCUAAAUGCUUAAUGUGGUCCUUUUUCUUUAACAACUUGACCAACAUAUCAUCUUUGUAAACUUCCAUAGUCUUCCCAAGAUGUUCGUGGAACAUUUUGUUGACCAAUCGUUGGUAAGUAGCUCCUGCAUUUUUUAAACCAAAAAGCAUUACUUUAUAACAUUAAAUACCUCUAUCCGUGAUAAACGAUGUUUACUCCUGAUCUUCGGGAUUCAUCAUUAUUUGAUUAUAACCCGAGAAGGCAUCCUAAAAGUUAGUAACUCGUUCCCAGCGGUAGAUUCCACAAGACUCUAUAUGCAGAAGCGGGAAACUAUCCUUCGGGCAGGCUUUAUUGAGGUCUGUGAAGUCGAUGCACACUCUGUCUUUUCCAUUCUUCUUCUUGACCACAAUAGAGUUUGCUACCCAAUCUGGGUAUGGCACCUCCCUUAUAGACCCUAUCUUUAAAAGUUUAUCUACUUCGUCAUUUACCGCCUUUGCUCGUUCCACUCCGAGUUUUCUUCUUUUUGGUUUUACAGGCUUGAAUCUCUGAUCCACGUUUAGCUCGUGGCAGAUUAUGCUUGGAUCUAUGCCACGCAUAUCCGCUGCUGACCACGCAAACGAUGCUUUAUUUUUGUUCAAAAGUUCUAUUAUGGCUUCUUUUAAUUUGUCGGUUGAUAUGAUUCAAACUACCUAGAACUACUCUCUCAAAUAAGAGAUCAAUUGCAGUAUUUUAGGAUCGAUUUCACGGAGUUCUUUUGUUCAAACAGUGAGUUAAAUGUCGAGAUUAAGCUAGCAGGGUGUGAGUGAAAUAGUAAGAAAACAAAAUAAGAAAAUAGAAGAUUGAUUGUGUUGUAAACGAUUUAAUAAAAGAGGUAGGAACAGGGUAUUCUCAGGAAACUAUUGGUUAGUAGAUCUAAUUAAAGCUAGGUUGUUAUCGAACCAUUCUUAAACUCAAACUCUAAUUAUGGAAUAACCGGUGGGCGUGCCGCAAAACUCCCUAUAUCUAUAGCUAAUAGUGACCGGAGAAGCCGAGAGACUAUCAACUUAAAUAUGCAUUCUUAACGAGUUCAAUUGUUCAUCUUAGUAAAUAGGCCGAUUCUUAUUACACACCUAGACCAGACUCAUCAAAUAAUAGAUCCAACUACAGAUUCCUAUGGCGGGCAUAUCUAUUGUCUGGAUUCAAGAUCUAGUUAAUUACUCUAGAUCUAGCAUUAGGUAUAAUUAGAGAUGAAGAAUUCUAAAGAUAACCUAGCAAAGGGGGCAAUCUACUAAACCAUAUGAAUCCCUAAUGAGAAACCCUAUUCCUAACAAGCAGACUACUCAGACAUAUUGAAUGAAACAAACAACAUAAUUGAGAUAGAAAGCAUGAACACAGUGAAUAGAGAAGGGGAAAGAAGGGAUCUCUUCACUGUAUAUAGAUCUGAAUGAAACUCUGAAUAACAAUGGAUGAAUAGCUUAUGUCUCUUACAAUAGGGUUUGCAAAGAACUUGAUAAAAGACUUGAUAAAAGAAACUUAGGUCUAAAAACAAUAUAUAUAGACCCUAAAAACGUCUAGGGACUAAUAAUGCAAAUAGAGAAAUCUUCUGGGGCAAACUUGAGCUUCUGGAAACUCGAAAGCGGCUAGGGUUUUUGCUGGGCCAGAACUGGUGUCGAUCGACACCAAGAGUGUGUCGGUCGACACUCCUCGCUGAUUCCUGAACCAAAAUUGUCCUUAGCUUCCUUUUCAUUAGGUUUUGCUCCAAAAUGUCUCCUUAUCUCCAAUGUUGUCCCAUUGCAUAGAAUACCUGAAAAGACACAAAAAAGACUCGAGAAAUAACAUAAAGACUCAAAAUCCUAUACCUAAAACAAAGAUAAAUCGGUGAAUAUUGGGUUAUAUCAUCGGUUAGAGUAGCUCCAAUUCGAACUUUCCGAUUUGGCUUGUCCUCUUCUAACAUUAUUUCUUUCUUCGCGGGCUUCGUUAAUUGCUAUUGGAUCUUCAGACGGUGGCUAGCUAGAUAACAUGUCCGAGAAGCUUUAAAGUGAUACAAAACCAAAAAAAAAUAGUAAUAUUAGAAGUUGUUUCUCAAGGCAAAUCAUUUGUGAAUGUAAAAACAACUUAAAAACAACUCUGUUCCUGGGUGAUUUUUUCUUCUCGAGUAGAUAGUGGUGUUUGUAUAACAUCUUCAUCAUCUUUCUUGGUCUCUUUUGGAACAUGUAAACCAAAACAUCAAAGCAAAUUUUUUCUUUUUUUAAACAAUUUUAUCAUGUCUUUUUCAAAAGUUAAGGAAUGCAUACCUCUGUUAUUUCUUAUUUUUGUUGUUGUGAUUCUUUCUCUGUGGGUGCAGUAUCAUUAUCUUCAUCAUCUAACAAAAUUACAUACGCUUCUUGAUCUGCAAAAUCAUUAUGUUCAUCAUGUUCUUCUACUUUUUCUUCUUCCUCUUCUCUUCCUUCUUCCUCUUCCUUUUUUUCAUCUCCUUGUUUGGGAUUCUCUUGUUUUUCUGUUUCUUCAUCAUUGCAAGUAGAAUGAUGACCUCUGUAUUCAACCUAUAUAAAUAAUUACAAGUUUUAUAAGUACAAACCAUGACACAUUUGUUUGUUCCUUAAAAUCGGAAAAUUAGUCAUGUAAAUCACUUUUCAAAAGCAUUUAAAAUCCCUUGUAAAUACUUAUCGAACACUGUCUAUCCUUUAAAAACGGCUUAAAAUCUUUAAAAUAGAAGCUUUAAAAAUCCCUUGUAAAAACGAUAAUCACAAAGAUUUAUAAUUUCAAUAACUAUAAGCCAUUAUAAAACUUUAUUAAAACUCAUACAGAUUAACAUAUACCUUUUCUUCUUCUUCUUCAUCUUCUUCAUCGUUUUCUUCUUCCUCUUCUUUUCCUUCUUCCUCAUGUUUUUCUUCUUCUCCUUGUUUGGGAAUUUCUUUCUUUUUUGUUUCUUCAGAAUGAUGACCUCUUUAUUCAACCUGUAUAAAUAAUUACAAAUUUUAUAAUAACCCAAACUUUUAAAAUUCCUCGUAAAUACGUAUCAAACACUGCCUAUCCUUUAAAAACGACUUUAAAUCUUUAAAACUCCAUUUAGAAGCUUUUAAAAUCCCUUUGUAAAAACGAUGAUCAAAAAGAAUUAUAAUUUCAAUAACUAUAAGCCUUUAUUAAACUUUAUGAAACCUCAUACCGAUUAACACAUACCUUUUCUUUUUCCUCUUCUUUUCCUUCUUCCUUUUCCUUUUCUUCAUCUCCUUGUUUGGGAUUCUCUUGUUUUUCUGUUUCUUCAUCAUUGUUAGUAGAAUGAUGACCUCUGUAUUCGACCUAUACAAAAAAUUACAAGUUUUAUAAGUACAAGCCAGGACACACUUGGUUGUUUUUUAAAAUCAAAUAAUUAGUCAUGUAAAUCACUUUUAAAAGGCUUUUAAAAUCCCUUGUAAAUACUUAUCGAACACUGCUUAUCCUUUAAAAACGGCUUAAAAUCUUUAAAACUCCAUUUAGAAGCUUUUAAAAUCCCUUAUAAAAACGAUAAUCACAAAGAAUUAUAAUUUCAAUAAUUAUAAUAAGCCUUUUUAAAACUUUAUUAAAACUCAUACAUAUUAACACAUACCUUUUCUUCUUCCUCUUCUUUUCCUUCUUCCUCUUCCAUUUCUUCAUCUCCUUGUUUGGGAUUCUCUUGUUUUUUCUGUUUUUCAAUCAUUGUUAGUAGAAUGAUGAUCUCUGUAUUCGACCUGUAUAAAAAAUUACAACUUUUAUAAGUACAAGCCAGAACACACUUGUUUGUUCUUUAAAAUCGAAUAAUUAGUCAUGUAAAUCACUUUUAAAAAGCUUUUAAAAUCCCUUGUAAAUAUGUAUCGAACACUGCCUAUCCUUUAAAAACGGCUUAAAAUCUUUAAAACACCAUUUAUAAGCUUUUAAAAUCUCUUGUAAAAACGAUAAUCACAAAGAAUUAUAAUUUCAACAGCACAUACCUUUUCUUCUUCCUCUUCUUUUCCUUCUUCCUCUUCCUUUUCUUCUUCCUCUUCUUUUUUUUCUUCUCUAGUAGAACUGGCAGAAACUCUUUCGAUCCCUAAAUAGCCCUCCACCCUUCCAACUUUUUUCUUAAGAACUUCACAGUUUUCAUAGACCAGUGCUACUUUCUCACCAAAGGACAUUAAUUUCCUUUUUCUGCUGUGAUGCACAAUUGUUUCAAUUGUAAGUUUCAUUACAUGAUCAAUUCUACUUUCAUGUCCUUGUUCCACUUGAACCAACCCUGACACCAAUCCUUUUUGCUCAUUCUAUACCCUUUGAUCACAAGAUCAAAAACAUCUAACAGAUCAUUGUCUUCAAUAUCCUUCUGUGAAACCAAGUGGUCAUAUUCAUGAGAAUUAACACCAACUAUUGGUGUACUUCAAACUGCAAAGAUAAACUAAAUUCCAAACUAUGUAAAAAUCAUGUACAAUGCUUAAUUAACCUUUAAAAAUCCCUUAUAAAUUGUUUAAAUUGCCUUUAAUCCUUUUUAAAUCCUUAAAACUUGAUUGUAAAAACUAUUGUAAAACAUACUCUUUAUUUAUAAACAGUGUUUAAAAAAAAAAAAGUCAUAGGUAAGAAAAAUGUACCUUGUCACCAUCUGCAAUUAUUGUUACAGCUUUUGCACUUGGAGACGAUGUUGAUCUCCAUUGGAGAAUUAAUGGAAUAUUUCCACUAGAUGAUUCAUCUCUAAGCCAAACUUUUCUCCCAACUUCAGAACCGAUGAUAAUGCCCAUAUGUGAAUUGUAGAAACAAAUCGACUAUAUUGUUUCCUUAACAAAGUGUCAAUAUUGAAUUUCUUCACUUCAGUUACCAAAUAUGAGUAAACAAUCUGCGCCCAUCGAUACUUGCAGAACUUUUCGAAAUCACUAGCUCUCUGCAGAUUCUCAAUUGGCAGCAAGGUAGUCGGAUUUUGAGCUAGCAAUAUCCCCUCCACUAGUAACAAACCCCCCAAUCUCAUUCUCUCCUUCUGGCAGCAUUUUUUUGGAUGUAAGAUCGACAAAUCACAUUUUAUCAUUAAUCCACAAAUCUUUUUUCUGCUUUUCUUCAAAGUCUGAUUAUCUUCUAUCUACCACUUUUCUAUCUUCUUCUCUUCACAUUUGGACUGCUUCCUGAUGCAUCAUCUAUUGGAAGUUAUGUUGUU
rnacentral:lncRNA from 1 species